rnacentral:lncRNA from 1 species
UUUUUUUUUUUUUUUUUUAAGUGGCUUGUUUGUGUUGUCAUCCUGCACUUGGUUUUGUGAAUUGGAUUUUGACUUUGCUGGCUUGUUCAAACUUCCAAGUUUCUUAAACACAAGUACCUCCCGGAAUAGAGAAAAUACCAAAUUGAGGCCGGCUUCUACUUUGUGUAUUAUCCGCAAUCAGGUUUGGUUAGGCAGAGCCAAAGAAGAAGUAAGAUUUACAGCAACUAGUAGGCGUUGUUCUGAAGCCGCGGAUUAAAACGCAUACACAGAGUCAUGCCAGUAAAGAGAGAGCAUUGGCAAUCAAAUAUCAGAGGGUGAAUUACACACAAUCCCCUUGUAGUUUUGAAUAAUACCACAUUUCAAAAUAAGAAGAUUUACUUGUAUUGGCCGUCAAAGUCUUAGAGGCAUAGAAAAGUAGAAAUGCAUUCCUUGUUACAUAUCCUGAGCUAGCAAUGAAUAGGAUUUGAAGCCAAGAGACAAGUUCACAUAGAAGUAAUUUUACAAAUAGAUGCUAUGUAAAAUAUCAGUUUGAUGAACUAAGGUUGACCUUGUAUGUUCCCAUUUAAUUCUUGAUCCUGUUCAAUUGAUUUCCAUAAUUUCAUCUCUCCAACGUUCCCAUCCACCAAGUGGGAUCCUCUCUUGAAUAGAAAUUGGUGCCUCAAUUCAUCUGAUUUAACAUAAAUAGAAGGGCUCAAGCUGACUGAUUCUUGUGCUCCGAGUCCUGUCUGAGAUUUACAGAUACAAAGAGCAAUGGAAAAAGUAUCAUUGGGCACAACUUGUAGUCGACUGCAGAACAGUGAGAAAAAAUAUGUUGCCUGUUAUAGAGCUAAGAUACAACUUCAAGAAGGAUGCAAGCACCUAUCAGGGUUCAGCUAAUCCACAUCUUUCUGCUGCUUUGAACUACAAGCAGUAUGGAAGAUAUGGCAAAUUGAGUUCCAAAAGAAGUAAAAUAGCACCUCAUUAACAUGUCUACAAAUUGCUGAAUUGGUUGGACAGUUCAACAGCACCAGACAGACAGGGAAGAUCUCAGGCUUUGGGCAUCCGAGGCAGAGAGCAAAAGGGAAUUCCAUGCCGGAUGUUUUCAUCUGAUCUGACUGAAUCAGGAUCUGGUUCAACAAGGGAUCACAGGACUUCAUUACAAAUGAUAGUAAGAGCGAGCUAUCAAGGUUAAUGUUGAUCUUCGAGUGUAAAAUCACUGCAAAACACAAAAACUCAAACUUAAGAAACUCAAGACAGCAUGUAGUCAAGAAUAAAGCCAGCACAUAGUUGCAUGACAUUUUUGUUGUAUUUGAAACACUAAAAUAAGAACUUACCAUGAAGAGAUGAGCAAUAUCAACAAGUAUAGGUUGUAGAAUGAGCUUCAUAGCCAUCAUCACAGCGGAUGAAAUAAUUGCAGCCAACAAGCAUGCUUGGCAGUCUCGACUAACCACAGCGAUAUGCUUCGAAACUGGCAGCUUAGACUUGAUUGUGUUAGAAGAUGCUCUGAAAAAACAUCUUCCAUGGCUGCUCCAAAAAACAUCUUCCAUUACGAGAAGAUUUCUCAAGUUUUAGUUGUAAUAUAUUCAGAAUCAAAGUAUUUAAAAGUCAAAAUUGCGUAGUAAAAGAAGAGUAGUAUAUCUGAACUUACUGGACUCUUAGAACCAAAAACCAAUUUGAUGACCAACACUCUGGAAACUCCUGAAAUCUUUCAGGCUAGAAAAUCACAACCAACGAAAAGUGAGACAGAAACCCAUCAUUUACAAGACUUAUCGAACAAAUCACUAAUCAAAUGGUUCAAGAAGCUUGAUAAAUGCGCCCUCAAGGGGCCAUUAAACUUUGGAGCCACUAUUUACUCCCUCUAGAAUCAUAAGCUAGGGAGCUGAUCACUUUAGCAAUCACAUCUUACAUCCACAAAAGCAGAUAUAUAAAAUCAACAAAACAAAACUCCUAGUCACUUCAAAACAGAAAACUGGAAAUUGCAUGACAUUCUUGUUUGGUCAAUUAUUCAGAAAGCUAAAUCAAUAUUUGUUCUUGUUGUUCUUUUCUAACCUAAAUCAGCAAGAAGAUAUCAAAUCUUUCUGGUCAGUCUACAAGUACCAGAAGUAUCAUAGAAACUAUAUUAGUUUUUGUUCAAAACACUGAAAAAGGAGGAGUUCUAUAACAAUAAUGACAAUGAGUGGCAACACAAGCAUGAAAGGAAGAGAGCCUCAGAAUUGCCAUGAAGGCGAUCUCUUUGAGACUGCAAGAUGCAACAGGCAGAGCUAAUUACAACUAUUUUACUUAAAUCUCAUAUGACAACUUCAGUAGAGGAUAGUCUACCAACUCUCUACCGCUUGAAAAACAUCUUAACAUCUUAACCCAACAUUAAGUAAUGGAAGAAGAUUGUUGGUAUUAUAAAUUAUCAGACCACCAAUUUCACAACCAAAGGCAGUGAGAGUAACUCGAUUGACCAUUGGAUUUAGGUCAAGAGAUCAUAGCUAAAGAAAGAUGAUAAAUAUAUUGGAGCAAUUAUGUCGAAUCCCAUCAUUUAAGAGACAUAAUAAGAAUACCAAUUAUCAGAUAAUUUCGAGCAAGAUGAUAAAUAUAUUUAAAAGAGAUCAGAGCAAGCAUUUCCAUCCCGGUAGACUCUCAAGUUUAAAGAGAAAUAGCAGUCAUGAUGGAAAUACAAAAGUAAACUGGAAGUAGCAGACAUAUGAGAUGAGCAAAAGUAAACUGCUAGUUUUUAUUUUAAAAAAAGAAUUUUGCACCGUAGAUGUAAAUACAAAAAGUUUUUCAGCUUUGGCAUCGUGUUAAACUGUCCACACUCCACAUCAAAUAACUUGCUCUUGAACAUCUGUUGAGCUUUUAGCUUUGACAAACUAAAUUUCUAAAAUUGCAAUUUACUUCGAUAAUUCACAGCUUAUAAGGUAGUACAAUUAAUGAUUGAGAUGUCUAUUUGCAACCUGCAAUCAACUUGCAAAAUGAUAAUUCUUCAGUCCUUACUGUUACAUUACUAGACAACAUCUUGGAAACAGACGUUUUAAAACUUCAGAUAUUUUGCAACAAAAUCAUCUUACCAUACAAUAUUUAUCACCUGAUAUUGGAUAGAUUUAAAAGAAUUUAGUAAUGAUUUUACUGGAGUAUGUUGUCCUGAAGAAACAAAAAAUUAGAAAUUGACUCCUAAAAUCUUUGUCCAUCAUUGCCUCUCUAUAAUUUUCUGUUCCAUCAAACUUUGAUUUUGACAAUCUAUUUCAUGAAUGUAAACGCAUUAUCAUUCUUUUCUAGCAAAUUGAUAACCAAAUGAACUUUUAGAGUACUUAGUUGGCCGAGGAGCUUUUAGAUUGAAAAUCUCAGGAAGGCAUGUUUGCCUGCAUUCCAAUAAAGAUAGAAGAGCAAAUUUCAUGUCAUUUUUGAGCUAGGAAUCUUACAGAGAGAAAGGGUUUCUUUUUGUUGCCUUUGAUCUAAAACUAAUGAGCAGGAAAAAGGCUUGAUACUAAGUACAUCUACUAAUCCAUUUAAAACAAAUUCCCUAACGUUACAGUACUUCUUGAAAAUUUGGAAGCUUCUCAUUGUCAAUCUGUUUCUCUAAUACAAGCUCUACCGCCAACCAAACCCCCAUGCUCAUCAGCAGAAAUUCACGGUAAUGAUGGCUCUUGAUCUUGAAAGACAUUACAUAAGUUGGGGAAAGAAAUUCAGGUGAGCAGUUUGUAGAGGCCAGCUGACAAAGAUAGAGCAUUUUAUCAGGUUUUAGGCACUAGGAAGAAAGAAAAGUGUGCCUGUAGCGUCCCAUCCUAAUCAUUUCUGUCCAAUUGAAACAGGAUUUGAUUCAACAAAGUUUUCAAAAGUUACAAGCUGUGUAAUUCAAUCAGUAAGUAAGUGCAAUUGUAGAUUUCUGUUGACAUUUAAGCCUGAGAUCAUUGCAGAGCAGAAAACUCGAGCUGAGACAAUAAGUGAACAAGAAAGCUAAUCAGAAAGUUCAGAAAAUUCGACAAUAGUUUUGUUCUGUCAUUCUUACAGAAGGCUAAAAUAUGUCUUGUUUGUUAUGAAACUAAAUGGAUAAACAAGUACUGAGUCGUGUUUACAAUUACAGUGGUUUGGUUCCAACCACAAAGCAAGUAAGCACAAUCAUAAGCUUGAAAAUAAUGAUAGGCAAUUUGCAUUUUACAUUGAGGCAUUGAGGAACAGUAGAGCUAUGGGCCGCUGAGGAACGUAGAGCUAUGGGGAUUCACAUUUAACUGCUACCAAAACACCAGUUAAUUCUAACUUCUAACUGUGAGCAGUAUGCCACAGAUGACAAUUUGAACCCUAAAACAUGUACAUCAGCCCCUCAUUAUCAUGACUAAAUAUCACUGAAUCGUUUGGACAGUUUAAAAGAACCUACCCCAAUGGAUAUCUUAGACUUUGGCCAUCUGAGGCACAGAGCGAAAGCGAAUGCCAUCCUAGAUGUCACUAUUCAACUGAAGCAGGAUCUUGUUCAGCAAAGAAUUGCAGGACUUUCAAAAAGUAAAGACAGUAAGAGCCAUCGAUUAGGUUCCCUGUUAAGCUUUGUGCUAAAAUCACAGCAAAGCACAAAAACUCAAACUUAAGACGACUUUCAGGACAGAAUAAAGCUAAUGGAAAUUUUCAGAUAAUUGCAGGUUUUCUAUCAUUGUAACUGAAGCCCCAGAAGGCAAAACUUACCAUAAAAAAAAAGAAGCAACCAACAAUCAUAAAAGCAGAGAGAGCUUAAGAGGCUUUAUCAAGGUGGAUUCAUUAAGAGCUGAAAGUCGCAACAAACAGACUUGACCAACUACUGGAAUGCUUCAAAAUAUUCCACUUAGACAAGAAUGUUGGAAGAUACUCCACCAAGUUUUGUGCAAGAUUUCUUUUGUUUUAUAUGUGAUAUAUUACAUAUUAAAGUGGUUAAAAGUCAAAAUGGAGUAGUGAAAGAAGAGAAGCAUAUCUAAAAUUACCAGAAUUUUUGAACCAAAACAUGAAUUCUUCAUGGCUCAAAAGUCAAAAUGAAGGAAAAGUGAGUCAGACAACCGUCAUAUAUGACUCUGAUAGAGCAAUUACUAAUCAAAUAGUUCAGAUAAGUUUGCAAGUUCAUUAUCAAGAUGUCAAAGUUCAGAGAAACCAUUUCAUCCCCUCAGAAUCACAAUUUUAAAUAGAGUGAGCUGACUUUAGCAAUAAUAAAUUAAAAUCCAUAGAAACAGACAUUUAAAAUAAACAAAACUAGACUGCUAGUUGUUUUAAACAUUAAUAGGAUAUUUGUAGGAAAUGCAGGCCAAAAGUUAUUGAGUUCCAGCCAUAUAGAUGUUACUGAAGAAGCUUCAAAAUUCUAACCUCUGUUUGUCUAAGCAAGAGACCACAAAAAUCAGCUUGGAAAGUUUUGAAGAAAGGAGUGUCAUCAGCAUUGCUGAUCUAAAGACAUAUAGAAAAUGUUUCACAAAUUUUCUGCAGAUGCUAUGAAUAUAAAAUGCAAAUGCAUUUUCCACGGACAAAAGUGCAGAGAACUCAUUUCAUCCUGAUGCAAAUCGUGAGUUUAAAGCUGAGAGCUAAUCUUAGAAAUAAUCUUUUACAUUGUUACUUGAUUAGUUAAUUUGUUUCACUUCUCUUUUAUGCAGAACUUGCUUUGGUCACCAAGAAAAUCUUGUGCCUUUGGUUAUUCAUACACAGACAAGAUAUUAAGUCAAGCUUCCAUUGAAGACAUGUAACCAUCACCUAUUUAUGGUAAUGUUUAUGGAGUACCUAUAACUUUCAAUCAAGAUACAGAAACCUAAGAAAGACGCCAGACAAAAUUGAAAAGAACAACUUCAUGCAAUUCUUCGUUUUUGGUCAAGCGACUACCAACAUAAGAUUUACUCAACAUCAUAUAGACCAGUAAUUUUGGAAUAACUAUGAAUCUUAAAGUAAGAGCAUCAUUCUAGACUUACGAUUUUUAACUGAAAAAGAGAACAGGCAAGCUCAUAAAAUCAUGUUGUAUCUAAUGGAGCUAAGAUACAACUUCAAGAAGGGUGGUGAGUAGCUUGCAAAGGCCAACUAACAGACAAUAAGCAGUCAUAAAGACAGACUGACAAUUUUCCGCAACUAAAUUGCAGCUAAUUUGAGAGGCAAGCAGUAUGAGACAGAAUAGCAAAUGAGGUCCAUAAUUGAUGAAUUACUACCUCAUGUCAUGGCCAACAGGUUGAAGGCAUCACAUUCACACCGUAGAUCUCAGGCUUUGGCCAUCUCAGUCACUUAGGAGCGAAAGAGAGUGUCAUUCUAUAUGUUUGUCUCCAAUUUGAAAAUGAUGUGGUUGAAGAAGGAAUAAUGGAUAUUGAUACGUAUGGCAGUAAUUAAGCCAUUGAGGUCUCCCGUGAGCUGUGAGCAUAACACCACUGCAAAAUAGAAUACUCAAAACUCAAGACAGUGUAUAGAAAAUCAUAAAGCUAACUAGAAAAUUCGGGUAAUUGCAGGACAUUUCUGUUCAACAAAUCUUGCAGAAAGCUUAAGAAAAAGAGAUAUUGUCAUUGAUUUCAAACCUAAAUAGCAGAUACAAAAUCUUUCUGCUCAGUCUCAGGUACCAAAUUCUUAUUGCUAGACCUCGUGACUGAAAUGGCAGACUGACAGUGUGCAAGCUUCGACAAUAAGGAUAUUUGGCUAUUUGAGGCAGCAAUAUGAAAGAAAAGAGGGCCAUCAUAAACAUUUCUGUCCAAGAUACUGGGUUUGCAAUUGAAUGAGCAAUUACUGCUAGUUGUUCUAAACGUUGAUAGGUCAUUUGUAGGAAAUGCAGGCCAAAAGUUAUGGUGCUGAAGAAGCUUCAAAAUUCAAACCUCUGUUCGUGAAGCUAUUCUUCUAUCAAUCCUACAAAAACAAAGCAUAGAACAGAAUAUGAACAGAGAUACAGUAAAACAUCAAAGCACGAAACAGAACAGGUGCUUGCGGUCAUUCUAAUUGAUAGUUACAAGAGUAUUACUAUUAUGUUGUAAGGAGUAAAUGAAGAGCACCAAUAUUUUGGACCUAAUAAGAAAUGCUAAUGCCGCAGCUUUGAGAGAUAAUAAAUAGGACGAUAAAAAGGGAAAAGAGAAAAUUGUGAAAAUAACCACGGGUACUUUUUUAGGUUUUCUCACGAGAAGGUUAAUCAGAGGGGGAGGUGAAGAGAAGGGGAGAUUGAUUGAUUGUAAAGCAAAUUAAGAAAGAGGUUAUUGAAGGCAAUCUUACAUGAUUGAAUUUGAUCCAAAGAUGAAAGUUGGUUAUUAAUCGGUUAUGUCUAGGUGUUGAAUGUGAGAAACUUUGGACCACUGGGAGUCGGCGCCGCUGCUCUCAGGAGUGCAUCUUUCUUUUAACAGAGGAGAACCAUAAACCUCCAGACGUUUUAAUUUGGUGAGACUUCUCAUGGCAUCCUCAGAGGGUAGAUGUCCAAGCUCUUUGAAAAACCAUAAGUGCAAGUCUUCAAGAGCCGCAAAGUUUCCGAACCAAUCUGGCAGAGCUUUUAUACCUCCAAAUUGAUAUAGCGUUAGUGACGUCAUAGUGGUCAAGUAUUGGAUCUGAGGUGGCAGGGACUCCAUGUAUGGCAACCCAUAUAAGUCUAAUUCACGGAGUGCGGAUGACGAAGAGGAGGAGGAGGAUAUCAAUCCAGACCAAUCAAACUCAUUGUAAAUUGAAGAAUUUUCAUGAUCAUCUGAGAAGGACCAAUUACAAGCUUCCUUAAGCUGGUUAGGAUACCAAAUCCUCUGGGCGUCAUGCUUGUUUUCAGUUUGGGACACCAAUAUAAUCCCAGCUCCAAGAGAGAAGGCGUUUGUCGCAAAUCAAGUGGAAAGGAGAUAAGAUUGUCGCAAGCAAAAACCCGAAGCUCCUGGAGAGAGGUACAAGAGUGUAGCAUGUCACCUGGCAGAUUCGUAAAGUUGAAGCAAUAAAAUGCCAAAUGAGCUAACUUGGGGAGUGUUGUUGGCAAAUCCAUUAACCAUCGAGGAAAUUGAUUGCCCAUAAAAUACCAAAUUACCAACUCCUCCAAAUUUGAAUGGGGUCGAAGGCCAUCUAACACAUCUUUGUCGUUGUAGUUGUCGCCUUCUCGGUUGUAGGCCCACUCAAGUUGCAGCCUAAAUAGAUUUGCCUUUUCAGAUAGUUUUGCUUCCUCAGCUUCUUCCUUAUCCUUUGCUAGUUCCAGAUUGCGUAUAGUUAAACUGCCUUUGAGGUUCUUCAAGCUUCCAAGCUCUCCAAUUCGUCGACCCUUCUCUCGACCCACGUUAAAGAACUCCAGCGUCUGAAGGCAAGUCAGCCGUCCCAUCUCUAGCGGCAUUUGAAAUGCUUUAUCCAUGAUGUAAAGGUGGAGAUGUCUCAAGCUAAUCAAAUCGCGCAUCCCCUUCGGAAGAACUUUAAGAAAGUGACUAUUUAGCCUCAGUGUCUGCAAAUUAUAAAGUUUGCAAACAGAUUCCGGCAAAGUUUCACUUGUGGAAUCCUCAAAGUUAAUGUACCUCAAGUGUCUCAGUUUGCCAAUUGAGAUUGGCAGAUUCUGAUUUUUUGCACCGGACAAAUUCAAAACGUGCAAAUUCUUCAACUUCAUUAGCAUAUCAUCAGAUAAGCUACCCUGACUCAGAAACAAUGUAUGAAGCAAAUUUGAUCGACUCUCAAGAAGAUUUUUUGCACCUUCUCCAAAUGAGUCUAUUACAAGACAACGAACCUAUUACUAUUGUCUCCUGAACCAGUCUCCGAAUUAAUGAAUUUAGUAGACUUUGACAUUAUUGAUUUUGAGACUUCGUGUACCAUAUCAUGCAUUUUAUAACAUUCCUUCUCCAACCGUCUCUUAUUUCUUCCAGCAAAGAACUCUGCAAUAAAAUUUCCAAGUAAUACUCUCCAAUUUCCUCCAUUGUUUUGUUCUCGAGACCUGCAUGGAGGAAACCUUCUGCCAUCCAAAGUUCGAUCAGCACAUCCCCUUCCAUCUCAGCAUCCUCGGGAAAAAUAGAACAAUAUGCAAAACAUUUCUUGACGGCUGGUAAUGGCAAAUUAUCAAAACUAAACUUAAGUAUUUGCCUCACAUGGUCUCCACCUGCACUCAAAAGCCUAUUCUCCAAAAUUGAUUGCCACUCCUCUUUUCUCUUUAAAGAUAAUAGACCUCCGAUUACACUUGCAGCCAAUGGUAGACCGUCACAUCUUUUGAUUACUCUCUCUUUAAUUGCUUUUAGUUCAUCAGGUUCUUCUUCCCUUCCAACUACUUUUUCUUUUAGGAUAGACCAGCAAAGAUCAUCAGGUAGCCUUCCUAAGGCAUAGGCUUCAUCAUCCAUCCUCAGAACUUUCAACACAAUAUCUGCCAGUUGACCAAUACGAGUAGUGACAAGACACCAGCUUCCAUCAGUUGGAUUGAGCCCCUUCAAGGUGGUGAAAAAGUCAUCCCACAAUGCCUGAUUAUCAUCCCACACAUCAUCAAGGACAAGGAAAUAUCUUUUUCCCUCUAGUUGAUUCUGAAUUUUUUCAACGAUGACAUUCCUAUCAUCCACUUCAACCUUUUCUCCCGUCAAUUGCACUAGUAUGAGUUUGAAAAGUUCCACUACUGGAACUUUUUUUGAUACGCAAACCCACAACUUUUUCUGAAAGUGCCCAUCAAUUUGGUGAUUGUUGUAUAUCGAUUUAGCCAAAGUUGUUUUGCCUAGACCUCCCAUACCAGUUAUGGGAAGACAAGAGACAACCUUCUCAGAUGGGCUCAACAGCAUCUUCACUAUCUUUGAUUCAUCAUCGGCUCUUCCAGUCAUUGGAACAGCAACCGAGUCGGUCUGCCGAUUUCUUCUGUCUCCAGCAUCAGCAGCAGCAGGGAGGGCAGCUGUCAUCACUAACCUACUGACCAGCUCCAAUCUGUUGGCUUCUUCAUUUAUCUUAUUCAACUCAAGGUUGAUGUCCCUGACCUUAGAAGCCAUUCUCCAACGAAAAGCAAGAUUAAUGUUAGAGAAGGAGAAGAAGCAGCAUACCUUGAGCUUGUGUCGGUUUCGGGACUCCACCUGUUGACGAAGGGAUUCAUAGUGGAGCUCAUCCAACACAUUGUCCGCCUCAUAAGCCACCUCCUCGAGACUCUUCAACCAUUCUUGCACUACCCGUCCUGGUUUUGUUGUCUUUCCUCAGCAUCAGCCAAGAAAGCAUUGAUCCAGCGGAGAGUACGUGUCAUGCUGGCAACAUCCUUCUUGAACCCAACUAACAUACCAAUCCUGUCAGUGGCAAGAGAUACUGCCGUCUCCAAGGCAACCUGAAUAGUGGCACUGAUAACAGGGUCGGCCAUUUCUUCUUCCGUGGAUAUACAGCUCUGAGAUCAAGAUGGUUUUUUUUUUUGAUGGAAGUGUUUUUGCAGCGAGGAACUGGUAAUCUUAUCUAGGCUAGUAUAAUUGGUUAUGAAGAAAGGAGCAUUAAUAAUUAUUGCGCGUAGACGUGGAGUUCUUCUCUGACAAAUUUGGAAGCUUUUGCAUUGGCAUGUUUACAGAGUAACUUUCUCAAUAACCAUUGUUUUUGUCCACUUACAUGCAUGUCAUUAUUGUUAAUCCUUGGAAAAUGAAUUUAUGACAUACAGUAAUUUGGUCUGAAUUUUGUUCGGUUUUGGGAAGCGACCACACUGGGAAGCAAUAAUAAUAAAUGUUCUCUGUUUUCGCACUAGCUAUGAUGCAUUUUGCUUCUUGGCUUAGUAAUUAGGCUUGAGAUUUUAAAUUACCUUUUGUACUUUAGCGUUUUCAAGUACAUAACAUGAUCGGUAUGAAAUCCCAACUUAUGUUUCCUUGUUGCAAAUCUUGCCAAAACUUUAUAAGAAAUGUCUUAUCAAUUUCUUUGAUACCUGAAACACUAGAAAUUUCUCAUUCCUUAUGCGUAUUCUUGUUUAAUUAUUUAAUUUGGUUCCUGAAACACAAGAAGUUAGUAAAGAAUUUCGAUCCAAUUUGGUGCAACGUUUCUUUGACAAACUGAAUCGGAUGCUCCUGCAAUGAAAGUGUUUUUUUUUAUAGCAACAAUAACUUUCCUACAACCUAAUCUAAUCUAUUCUAUAGAGAAAGGGAGCCUAAUCUAUUUUAUUCUACAUGCCAGAGAGCCUAAAAAGACUAUAUAAGUGAGUUGGUAUACAGACCUAAUCCUAAUUAUAUCGUAUUUUGACGCUUUUUUUAAUUUUUUUUCAUUACGUAGAGUUCGAACUCCACAUUUACAAUCCAAAAAAAAAUUAAUCUCUUUUUUGUUACCGCUGAGCCAAAUCUCCCUUGUUUGUAGCAUAGUAGUUGCCGGGAUUCUUCAUCUGCCUCUGAUCCACAUGCCACUUGCAUGGGGGGCCAUCGGAUGUGGAAAAUUCCACCCAAGAAGGAAAAGAAACCGAGUUGAAUGAUGAAGAAAAGAAAAUGGCAAUCAUCAUUGAGACUCUAAUAAAUCUCACUCCUCAGUUCCUGGGACGUGAACGUACAAUUAAUAAUUCCAUCUAAAUUGCUGAUCCUAGGUGGAUCAGAUUUGAAACAUAUUAAUCAUUUGGAGACUCCUUAUUUUGUUUGCUUUCUGCAGGGGAUUUGAAACACAUUAAUUUCUUUAAAAUCCUCCAAUUUCUUUAAAAUUCACAGACCCCCAAAGUUCUCCAUUUCCAUGCUAGCUAUAUAUUUUCUUCUUAGGCUAGUUCAGAAUAGCUAGAAAUUUACAGUGGAUGCUUUUGUCAGCUCUUUAACCACUGGUAGAAAGAAGUGCUGCAGUGGAUACCAUUAUUAAUUGCCAUGCAGAAGUUUGCAUGCCAUUAUUGACUUGGCCUUUAUUGAUCAAUGCUUAGCUGGGUAUUUUACCUUUUUCUGAUUGAAAGCUGUCUGGGGCCUUUGGUCGUGGAAAAUAUCUCAAUGGUUUGACCCAAGACUGAGCCCCGCCAAAAAAAAAAAAAGAAAAAAAACUAUGUUCAACGAUAAAAAUGUAAAGGAGAAAGAGGAAAUGACAGCCAUAGCUGGUGACUUUGCAACAUUAAUUGCCUCAGUCAUUAAUCCUUGAGAAAUAGACUAAAAACGUUAUUUUGUGGGGGAAAAACUUUAAUAAAAAAUAAUCCUUGGUUCACUUAUCAAAAACAUGAAGUGGAGUUAGCAAUCAGGUUUGGCAUAUAGCGACAUAAUUGGGCAAUGGUUGGGUGCUUUCUUAGCUUUUACACUUGUGAAAUUGCCAAAAUAAUCACUCAUAAUUCCACAAGCUUUCUAGCACUUUAAAAUUUCAGACAUUUUGUUUCAAAAUGUCUUGUUUAUGUAUAGCAUGCAAAAUUUAAGUGUGAAAGUUUAAGGAGUUUCUUUAUUACCAAUUUUUUUUUGGAGUGCAAUAUACAAUCAACUGAAGUUAGAAGUGAAAUAGACCUUUAGCUCACACUAUGAUUAUACACUUUGACUGAAUUGGGAUGUUUUGGGAAGGGGAAAUGAGCAUGUUCUUGUGGAUUUCAAUUUUUACAAUUGAAUUAUUUGCCUAUGAUAUGUUCACAAGUUUAAUUUAAAUCGAGUUGUGAUAAUAGAAGAUUGUCGAAAGAAGACUUCAAAAGGUGGAAAUUGAUGGGGAAUAAACUGGUUAUUUGGAUACUUGAGUUUUCCCCAUUUUUGUAUCCGAUUCUUUUAUAAUUAAUUUUUCUCGUCCUAAAAAAUUUAUCUUUUUAGCUAAAUUUGAAUUAUUUUUUCUUAUGGUUCUUCUUUCUUCUAACAAUAUGAUAAAUUUGUUUAAUUUUUUUUAUCCCUAUGGACUAACUUAGUGUCAAAAAACUUUAACUAUUAACUGAUAGAUUUAUUAAUAUUGCUAGAAAUUGAAUAUUUGUUUAUGCAUAAAUAAAUUGCUAAAUUUUUCGUCCUUAAUUAAGUAGGAAUAUGUAACUAUGUUUAUGGUUAAUAUAAAAAUUGCAAUAAUGUAAAAACUAUACAUACACAAAAGGGUAGAGAGAAGAGCAUUGAUAUUUGGUCGCUUAAAAGUGCAGAGUUAUUCUUAACUUUGAUGCCUUCCUUUGCAAUGGAAAUAUAUAUUCCUUGCAUGGCAUCUUCGCUUUAAGUUUCUUGGAUGCUUUGAAAUGCAGAGUUAUUCUUGGCUUUGAUGCCUUCCUUCGCAAUGGAAAUAUAUAUUCCUUGCUCGGCAUCUUCACUUUAAAUUUCUUGGAUGCUUUGAAAUGGAAAUUCCUGGCAUGGGAUUUUCACUUUAACUUUCUUGCUGGGGCGGGGCCUUCAUCCUUACAUUUGCUGUUUGCUUAACAUAUAUUUCAUUCAUUCGUUAAUCCCUGAAAGAUGAACUAAUUAGAACAUAAUUUGGUCUUAACGCACACCUUAAUCUGUUAGCUAGAGACGUAUAUUAAGUGAAUAGUCAAUACAAAAAUCUAUUAGGCUUCUAAUUAUUUGUUAAUUCAAAUUUUGAUAUUGUUGAUGUUGAGCAUCGAGCCUUUUCAACUUUGCAUAAUCAAUGAGUACCCCACAUUCUGAACUGUGGUGAAUGAAGUUUGGCAAAGAAUAACUUCAAAUGUGGAUUUGCUUCAAACGUUAUAUUCUGAAAUGAAGUUCGGCAAAUAUAGCACCUGUGGAGCUCCAGUCCUUAAAGUUUUGACAAAAACAAAUUUAGUCCUCAAGCACGAUUGUAGUCCCUAAAGUUUCUAUAAGAACAACUCUGGUCUCUAACGUAUCCAAUAUAAAGUAGAUUUAGCAUAACUGAAUAUUUUUACAUUAUUGACAGAAUUUAUUCAUGUUUCCAUUAUAUUAAAUAUAAAAAAAAAAGAAAAAAUAGUGGCUAACUCUAAACAACAGUAUUAAGGACAAACAACUCAUUAGCUAACUAAUUAACUGGUAAAAAUUUGUUAAAAGUACAAAAUUCAAAUUAGUUGAAUCACUUAAUUCAUCAAUUUAAAACUUACUUUUUCUCUCUAUCCCUACCAACCCUAAGAAACGAAAAAAAGCCAUUGAAUUGCAUCUUUGCUUACAAAAUUAAUUUAAUGUACACAUGACUGAACGUUACUAAAUUCCCAUAGUAAUUAAAAAAAAGUUAGUCGAUUAUCCUAAAUUUGCUUAAAAUUGGAAACAUUUUGGGACAAAAAUUAUUUUUGAUCAAACUUUUAGAAGUAAAAUAGUUCAAGUGCCAAAAAUUGAGGACCAUACUUGUUUUUGCUAAAACUUUAGAACUAAAACCGUGCAAGUGCAAAACACUAAGGACAAAAACUACAUUUUUUCCAAAAGUUAAAAGAAACUUCAAAAAACUAGAAAAAAAUAUUAGCAAUCGGCGAGGUGUGAGAUUUAAGAAACCAGAGUUUUGAAUUUAGAACUUCUACUGUUUAUAUAGUUUCAAAUACAAAAAAUUUGCUUUUUAUGCUAUCUAAAAGAAUUUGUAAUGGAACUUGAUGAGUUUAAAUGCUUUCGCUACAGCACCAUUUUGAUUGCAUUGUAUUAAUUCAUUUACUCAUAAUUGUAUGUUGUACAAUGAUAAAUAAUGUUUCUUGAUUUGAUUGAAGCAACUAUUAUCCAUAGUUCAAACGAGUCAAUUAAGUAGAAAUGCUAUAUUGGAUACUUAUAAAGUAAACAUUGAAAAAUAUCAUUAAGCAGUUUCUACCUAUAGUUUGCAAUUCGAAUUCAUAUGAGGAAUUUCUUCUGAUUUUAGUUACCAUUUUUCUAAAAUUUCAAAUUUAGAAAAUAUUAUUUGCACCAAUUUUUUAUAAUCAAGAUAGUUUCAAUUCAGAUCUUUAACAAUUAUGCAGAUUUGAACUUAUUUAUGAGAUUAUAAAGAAAUGCCCCUAGCAAAAACACCAAAUCUGAAUAGUUUCUACAAAACUUUGAAAAAGACCACUUAAGUUUCUUAUCUAUCUAUCACUUUUGGGCAUUAUUAUCUCUGUAAGAAACAUGUGAUUAAGUCGUAUUAUGCCCACCUAAUUAUAUAAAUAGUUAGUCAAAAAUAAAAUUAUUUUAGUAUUGUCUCCUGAACCAGUCUCCGAAUUGAUGACUUUAGUACACUUUGACAUUAUUGAUUUUGCGACGUCGUGCACCAUAUCAUGCAUUUUAUAACACCUUCUCCAACCGUCUCUUAUUUCUUCCAGCAAAGAACUCUGCAAUAAAAUUUCCAAGUAAUACUCUCCAAUUUCCUCAUUGUUUUGUUCUUGAGAUCUACUUGAAGGAAGCCUUCUGCCAUCCAAAGUUCGAUUAGCAUAUCUCUUUUCAUCUCAGUAUCCUUAGGAAACAUAGAACAAUAUGCAAAACAUUUCUUAACGGCUGGUGAUGGUAAACAAUUAAAACUCAAUUUAAGUAUUUUCAUGACACUGUCUUCAUCUCCGCUCAAAUUUGAAAGCUUAUUCAUCAAAAUCAAUUCCGACUCCUCUUUUCCCUUCAUGCGCAAUAAACCUCCCAUUGCACUUGCAGCUAGCGGUAGGCCACCACAUUUUUUUAUAAUUUCCUUUUUCAUGACUUGCAAUUUUUCGGGAAUUUCUCCACCUGCAUUGGCUUUCUCUGUUAGGAUAAACCAACAAUCAUCAUCAGAUAGCUUUCCUAACACAUAAGGAUCAUGUGUGGCCACAAUGGAUGCAGUUUGUUGUUUGCGAGUUGUCACAACACACCAAUUUCCAUUAGUUGCAUUCAGGCCCCGUAACAAACGUAAAAAAUCAUCCCACAAGAUUUGGCUUUCAGUCCAGACGUCAUCAAGAACAAGAAGAUAUUUUUUCCCCACAAGUUGUUGUCUAAUUUCCUGGACAAUGACAUCCCUACUGGUUAUUUCAACAUUUCUUCUCGUGAGUGAUUCUAAAAUCAUUUUCAAAAGCCUUGUCACUUCAAAAUUGUCGGACACGCAAACCCAAAUUUUUUUCUCAAAAUGGCUAUCAACUUGGCUAUUGUUGUAUACAGAUUGAGCUAAAGUUGUCUUUCCCAAUCCGCCCAUCCCAAGGAUGGGAAUUACAGAAACGGCAUUUUCUGACAAGCUUAGCAAAAUCUCCACCAGCCUUGUUUCAUCCUUAGCUCUUCCUACAACAUAAUGGCCAGCUAUAGAAUCCGUCUCUCUAUUUAGAGUGACUUUAGCAGUUGUAGAAGGGGGGAAAGUUGCCCUUUGGAAUCUGAUCAGUCCAAAAUCAUUCGCUUCUUUAUUGAUCUUAUUCAACUUCUUGUUGAUGUCGCUGAUCUUAGAGGCCAUUCUCCAUCGGAAAACGAUAUUAAUGUCAGAGGACAGGAUGAAGGAGCGUACCUUGCCCACGAGUUGGCGAUGAAGAGCUUCAUAAUUCAGCUCGUCCAACAAAUUCUCAGCAUCAAACGCCACGGCUUCCAGCCUCUGGAGCCACAGUUGCACGGCCUGGUCGUGCGUUUGCUUUUCCUCAGCAUCAGCCAAGACAGCUUGUAUCAUGGCAACGGAUCCUCUCAGGGUCUCCAAAUCCUUCUUGAAUUGGAAUAACUUGCCAAUCCUUUCAUUGGCAAGGGCAAGUGUCUUCUCCAGUGCCACCUUUAUUGUGGAAGUAAUAAGUGCAUCAGCCAUUCUUUUUGUUCCUUGGGCGAGUCUUCAGAUCAAGAUACUCUUUUGCAGCGGUAGGUUUUAGCUGUAGCUAGAAGCAGAAAGGAACUGCUCUUUACUCAAACGGAAGUGACAAGACUUAUGAGGAUUUUUUGGUGCUGCACUUCUUUGACAAACUGGAUCGGAUGCUUUUGCAACGGAAGUUGCUUGGCAUUUUCAGUUGAAAACAUAGAGGUUGCUGGGAUUCUGCAUCUGCUUUUGAUCCACAUUCCACACGCUUGGGCCCCUGGUCGUGGAAAAUUCCACCCAAGAAGGACAAGAAACUGUGCUGAAAAAUGAAAGGUCCACAAUAAUUUUUUAUAAGAGAGAAAAAGCAAAAGAGAAUGACAAUCAUAAUUGAGACUCCGACAAUUAAACAUAGUAUUAAUUCCUUGGGGAUCAGAAUUAAAACAUAUACAAGUACACCUUAUUUUGUUGGCUUUCUGCAAAGGAAUACGCUAACACUAUGGCUUAAAAUCCUUGAAUUUAUUUACGGCCCAGAGACUUCAAAGUCCUGAACUUUUUUGCUUUUCCACAAAGUGUAGAAGUGUUGCAGCAGUACAUCUUUGAGAAACUGGGAUCCCUUUAAUUGAAAUAGAAGUUUGGUUGGCAAUUUCACUGGGCCUUGUUAAUCAAUGCUUAGCUGAGGUUUUCAUCUGUUUCUGAUUGAAGAACGCCAGCUGGGGCCUUCGGUUGUGGAAAAUACCUCAAAUUUGAAGUCGAAUCAGUAAGCAGACUUGGUAUGUAACGAUUUAAAUUGUCUAGCAACUGGAUGCUCUUCUUAGCUCUUUACAUUCGUGAAAUUGUCAAAAUAGUCCCUCGUAUUUCCAAAAGUUUUCUAGCUCUUUGAACUUACAAAGAAGGAAUUAAGAACUCACAUUUUGACGCAAAACGUCUUAUUCAUGUCCCAUAUACGAAAUUUAAGUGGCGAAAAUUUUGAGCAGUUUCUUUAUUAUAUAUUAUUUAUUUUUUGGCAUACAAUAUACAAUGGAUUGGAAUUAGAAGUGGAAUAGACCUUUUAUCUUACGCUAUAUUUAUACACUUUUGCUGAAUUUAGAUGUUUCAAAGGGAGGAAAUGAGCAUUUUUUGUUGAAUGCUUUGCUGAGGCGCCAACUCUUAAACUGCUGAGGCAUUCUAUUGUUUGUGCAAAAAAUUCUGAAAAGAAUGAUGGUCUGACCGAGAAGCACAAGAAAUUAUUGUCCUUAACAAUUAGAAUGUUAAAAAAAAGGGGAAAAUGACAAUGAUGUUGUGAUUUUGGGUACAUUAUUCAUCCCAUUUUUCUAGUUCUUGAGAAAUAAAAUAAAACCACAGGUGGUGACAAUCACAGGUAAAUGGGAAGGGAAAUGACAAUCACGGGUGGUGACAUGGGCAACAUUAAUCAUGUCAUCUGUUAAUCCAGAAAUAAAUUUGAAAAGAAUAAUAAAUUGGCCUUACAAACUAUCCUUGGGAAUUGGACUAACAGCAUAACUGGAGUAAUAUUUUGUUUGCUUAAAAACUUUUAGAAUUUGGUCAAAAUCAAGAGACCACAAAGUGACCGCAAAGUGAUCAUUUCAUACAUCACGUAAUUGGCCAGAAAUGGUUUGCAUUUUAACUUGUGAAAAUUGUUUAAAUAUUCUCUCAUACUUUAGGAAGUUUUCUAGCGCAUCAAUCAAACUUGAAAGAAGGAAUUUAACAAGUCAUAUCUUAGACCGUAACUCUUCUAUUAGCCUCCUAUCCUAUUUAUGAUUAGUUUUCACACUCAAUAUGUGUUGUUUACGUUUUAUGUGCAAUAUUUAAUGAAGUGCUGAAAAUUUUGAGGAGUUAGUUUAACUAAAGCACAAACUUAAAUGUUGGGAAGUUGCUUGGUUUUUAACUGAAAAAAUUUCCAAGGCCAAUGCUUGGAUUCUUUGUUUUUUUCUUAAUUUCAAUCGCUUGUUUGUGUUGUCAUAUCGAUUCCUUAAAACAUAUUAUUUGGAUGUUUUGAAAUGGCUGUGGUUGUUUGACAAAUUUGGAUGCUUUUGUAUUGGCAUUUUUACUUUAACUUUAUCAAUUAUUUUGAUUGUGGACAAUAUCUCAACGAUUGUUGCAUUUAUGAGGAGAAUCAUUUAUGUCCAAGAUAAAAUUGAACUCGGGAUCCCUUACUUACAACACCUCCUACCUUAUCACCCACACCCAACCCUCCCCAACUUGAAUAAUAAUUUGGUCUUAAUUACUGAUCCUCAAGAAUUAGAAUUAGAGCGCGCAUCUUAUUUUGUUUGGUUCCCUCAAGUGCCAGAGCAAGAAUUUUUAUCGGAUCAAUUAACGGUCGGUUUUUGGCUAAUGAAAAUAUUCUAAAUAAGAUUGUGAAAUCAAUUAAUUUCAUAUACAAUCCAAAUAAGAUUAUGAACUCCUUAUUUGUUUAAUUAAUUUCAUAUGCUAAUGAUUGUAACUCGCCAAAUAAUUGACGGUGACUGUAAUAAAAUUUCUUUGUUAGGGGUCAAAGUUCUUCCUUUCCGCACUAACUGUGUUGCAUUCUGAUUCUCGGAUAAAUAAUUACGCUUUGUGACUUCAAAUUACAUAUUCAUUGACACAAAAAACACAUAAACUCUCCCUGAUUAUUAAUGAGUGACAAAUUUUAUUUGUAGAGCAUAUAGUCCACGUUCUACCAAUCUCAAACUCUCUAUAUUAUUUCUAGGUCCUAGACAAAUAUUUUUUUUUGUUUUUGAAAGAAAGAAUUUGAGUGAUUUCAACUCUAGUUAUCACUACAGUGAAACACGAUAGACUUUUGUAUUCAUUUAUUUAUUUUUUUAACAAAAAAAAGAGGUCCAACUAAGAAUCAGGCUAACUAACAAGAAAAAAGCAAUGUCAAUCGAUUUGAUUUUGGCCCAAGGAAAGUACAUAGCGGUUGAAUGUUCACUCAGUAAAAUGGUCAGAUCAUUGAGAAUCUGAAAGUAGAAGCAAUGACUCUAUUGCUUAAACCUGAAACAAUUUUCUGUGCUUAGACAUACUUUGGCAUAAUGCUUUCAUUUUUUUAUAUAAACUCAUUAUCUUCCCUUUUCUGGCAAAUCAGCAAUAAAACUCAACAUUUUCUCCGAGAGGCCUUUAGGCAUUGGCAAUUGUAGCACAAGCAAAGCAAUAAGAUGUUCAAUUCCAGCUAUACAUAUGGUAGCAAGAGUUUAUGAUCUGAAUCCGCAUAAAAAAUGAAUUGAGAUGCUAAUUUGAGACGAAUGAAUGUACUACUGGCCGCAUGUAAUGCCCUGAAUCGAAAAUGGCUACCACUUCAAUCCAUAGAAUCCACUAGCGUAAGGAGCAGAAAUAUGAUGAAGGAAACUGGACUGCAACAUGGACUAAUAAGAAUCAGAUAUGAUGAUUCUUGAUUGCUUCAGAAAAUCUUGUAUAUUUGAUUAUUUGACACAAGACGUCAAUAUGCUUCAAAUGAAAGAGUGAAUCCAACAAAUAAGGCAUGACAAGCUGUGAUUAAUGCCAUACAAACCUGAGUUUAUCUAUACGAAUUAUUCAGGAAGUUGCUGUUAGUUUCAUUGAAUUAACAGAGAAGAUAGUGAAGAGUGAAGAGUGAAGAGCAGAGCCAUUCCAAAAUGCCAAAGAGACAGAGAGAUUAUAAAGAUGAUCAACUAAUCAUAAUCAGCCACACGCCCUUCAAGAAGGGCAUCAUACAGGGAGGCAUGAAAAUAACAUUUAGUCCAACAUAACGACAUUCAACACGAAUAGCCAAAUAUCGGAGGUUUGAGAAAUGACAGCAAUUGUUGCAGUCAAGCAAUAGCAAUGAAAGGGGGGACUACACAUCCAAAAGAAGGCACAGCAAUAUGAUCAGUGUGGAACAAAAUUUUCAUUAUAAACUAAUUCAGAGCCAGCUACAACAUCACAGAAUUGCAGGCAAUAGACAUGAAACUUCCAAUACAAGGCCUUUGAUAGGUUGCAAUUCAUUCACUUAUUUUAUUAUUAAUUUCCCCUAUUACUUGACCUGAUGUGAAUUAAUUAUUAGAUUCUACUCACUUUUCGUAAUUUACAUUUAUUUCAGGGAGUAGAACGAAAAUAUAAUAACAGGUGCUAAUUUGGCAGGAAAAGAGUCCAGAUGAUAGAGCUUAUUCUAGGGCAUUUUUGGAACAACAAACGUGAGCCCUUGUUGGGCGAAUUGGGCCGAAGUCUUCACUUUCCUGCACAGGAGCCGCCGCAAGGAGUAUUCCUUUAUAUAGGAAAAUUAUGCAGGAAAAAGGGGGCUUCUUCUUCUGGUGCGGCGGACGCCGCACAGGAGCAAUAGGCUAAUUGGAAUAGGAGUUGCGCAGAGGAAGAGCAGUGACUCUCUUCUUAGUUUCUUUUGUCCUUUAGCUUAGUUUCUUUUGACUUUUCUUUCUUUUUAGCUUUUAGUAGUUCCUUGUCUUCCUUCGAAUGUUAGCCAAGAGUACAAGCAAUCAAUCAACUCAUGUAGCUUACUUUUCUUAUUGAUUUGAGCGAAUUGAAUUUGCCUAAUUCAUGGAUACGAAGGUCGCAGCUAUUGCCGCAAUUUCUGGUGGGUUUAGUUCAUCAAACAUGAACUAAUUUCGCCACUCUAGUCAAGAACAACGGGGAUUUGGUUCUACUAAAUUUGUGAGAUCGAAUUGGUUUUUAUAUAUUUCCAUUAUUCACUGGUAUUUGUCUAUCUUCUGCUUUAUGUUCAUAUGGUUGUUUUGUUAUUUGAUUAUCCAGGGCCCGGAUUCUAGAUUAAUUCAAUAACCUGAAGCCAAUUAGGGUAGUUAAAUCCAUAAUUGUUUAAUUAUUCUAAACUGGUGGUAACUGGCAUGAUUGGGUUUGUGUCAGGGAGAUAGACAGGCUAACUUAAAGAGACCCUCGUAGCGUGUUGAUUGGUUAGAAUUAGGCUCUUCUAAUUAUUCAUGCAAUUAGGGAAUUAAACUUCUAUGGUCGUACCUAGGGUUGUUUCCUGAUUAGAGAAAUAGUCAACGGUCGUACCUUGGCUAUCGACAAAUUGAGGAAGAGUUGGUUGUUUAUCGCAUGUAUGACAACUAUAACUAAUUUAUCAGAUAGUAACUGGAAUAAUCCUUGCAUCUGUGAUCGAAUUAAGUGAACCAUCUCCGAAGUUGUCUCUUGGCUAGAGUUCGUCCAUUAUUAUUUUUAUUGUGAUAAUUAGUUAUUUGAGUUGUAGUUAUUUUAUUUUAUUUAUUCAAGUAAUUUAGUUACUCUCAUUUUCAAAAACCCCCCAUAUCUGGAACUUGAGAAGAAAUUAAAUUAUCCCCAGUCCCUGUGGAUUCGACCCUGCUCACCGCUAUAUACAGAAUUUGUAUUUUAUUUGAGCAGGUAUUUAUUAUUGCACAGGUUCGGCACCUGUCAAUUUUUGGCGCCGUUGCCGAGGACUGGUGUCAGAUUAAUUUGUUUCUUUUCGAGUUCACCUUGUUUUCAUUUUUAAUUUAUUUUUUUUCCCUUUUUUUAUAUAUAGUUUAUGGCUGCUAACAUUCCAUAUUUUGAUGAUAGACUGGACUUUGUUCCUGAAUGGGGUUAUGAAACUCAUGUUUUUCCUAAUGAUCAAUGGGCUGUUGCAAAUUGUGGAACUUAUUUUGAUUCAGGUUAUUCAACUAACACAUGCCCCGCAUUUCAAGAUAAUCUAAGCGUUCCAAUUGAUACUUUUGGAGAUUUUCCACCCCAAUAUCAAACGUGGUAUGACCCUUAUUCAAACGGGUAUGAUCAAGGAUGGUGGGAUAAUUCCAAUUUUGAUUAUGCGACCGGGCCAAUGGAUUUUCAACAGCAAGAGUCUCAGCAAUCGUCCUCCGUGUCAGGUAUGUCUCUUGAAGAAAUGAUAGGUUUACUAAUUGCUAAUUCAAAUCGAUUUCAUCAGGAGACACAAGCGAGCCUAAAUCGAUUUCAUCAGAAGACACAAGCUGUCGCGACCUGGCGGAUCAACUGCGUCAAUUGACAGCCAGGAUAGAGCGAUUAGAGGCUCACCUUGAAGAAUUGCCCUCACAAACCAAUAUCAAUCUUGAGGAAGAUGAGAGUGCAAUUGUCCGGCCAAAUGACAUGGAACUGCAAGAGUUUCAAGAAAACGGAUUUAAAGAUGCAGUUGAAAAGGAAGCUGAAGUGCAAGAAAUGAGACUCCAGGAUCAACUCAUUCAAGUGAACGAUUCCAGUGAACAAUCUCCAAAUGCGGUGACAUCUUCUCCACUCCUUAAUCAAUAUUUUCCUGACUCCUAUUCUUCAACUCCUGUUACUGAAAUUGAUUUUAUUAUACCAGAAAAUUUAAUAUUUCAUGACAGGAAUAAGUUAAGAGUGGAGAUGGCAAAAUAUCUUGAACCAAUGAAUGUGUGUGAUGGAGGAGUGAGUAGAGAAUGCAGAUCAUUGUUGACUUGUUUAGCGCCAUUUACUAGUCCAUGGAAGCCCGUAACUCGUGUGCCAAGAAUUACUCCAUCUAUGAGGGUUACCAGGAUCACGUUGAAGAUGAACCAUUGAAGCGAGCCACAAGAUUCUAUCCUCCAUGAGCAAAACAUGAUAAUGUCUAGCCAAAGACAUUAAAGAAAGGCGCUCAUUGGGAGGCAACCCAAUUGUUUCUUUCAAUUGCUUAUUGGUUUAGUGACAUAGUUUAAAUCUGUUUUCCCUUUAAUUUGACUGAUUUUGGGUGUUGAUCUUCGUCUUUGCUGAUUUGUAAGUGACCUUCACCCAUGACGCGCCCGUGAUGAUGUGCAGGAAGCUCACGAUCAGGAAUUUCUGAACUUCUGGGAGCUCUCUUGCCCUCAUGACGUGCCCGCGUGAUGAUGUGCAGGAAGCUCACGAUCAGGAAUUUCUGAACUUCUGGGAGCUCUCUUGCCCUCAUGACGUGCCCGCGUGAUGAUGUGCAGGAAGCUCACGAUCAGGAAUUUCUGAACUUCUGGGAGCUCUCUUGCCCUCAUGACGUGCCCGCGUGGUGACGUGCAGAUAGCUCACGAGCAGAAACUUCUGGAGCUCUCUUGCCCGCAUGGCGUGCCCGCGUCACGUUCGCGGAAAGGUAAAAAAAAAAAAAAAAGAGAGAGAAAUUUUUUUCAAACCGUAGCUAGGUUUCUCAAUUAUCAAAAAAAAAAAAAAAAAAUUUCUCAAUUAUCAAGAAAAAACAAAAACAAAAACAAACAAAAAAAAAAGUUUUUUUCCUUCUUUCUUUUCUUUCUUUCCUUUCUUUUUCUUUCUUUCUCUUUUCUUUCUUUCUUCUCCUCUGUUCGCUGUGUCCGCCGCUCGUGCCCACCGCCAUCUCAACUCCACCGCGUGCCACCCCCUUCCUCAACUCAAUCGCGCGCCCCGCCGCCGCUCUCCGCUGCUCUCCACCAGAUCGCGCGCAGCCCGCGACCCCGGCGCGCCACUAAGCCGCGGCCCAGCCUCUGCGCCGCCGCUGCUAAAGCCCCACGCGACUCCCUCCGCAAGUGGCGACGAGCCCACAGGGACGUGCAGCAGCCUCUGUCCAGCAGCCAUGCUCUGCGCACGGACGCAGCCAUCCACCACCAACUUCAACGCCGCUUCUCUGUCUGCCGCCUGGGGUAGUCCCAGUGGAGGUAUUCGACACUUGCCCCCAAUUUCUCAGUGUUAGUCGGUGAUAUUUGGUAGUAGCUUAUGCAUAUUUGGGUGAUUUCCACCAGUGGUACUGGUUAGAUUAUUCUAGCUUGGAAUUGCUAAUUCUUUUGGGGUGGGUGAAGUUGUGCAUUUAAUUGGCCAUCUGGAGCCACUUGUUGCAAUUUUGGGGUGAUUGGAUGAUUCCUGUAGUUGAAUUGGGUGGAAUUUGUGGCAUUUGUGUUGCCUGUUGAAAUUGGACGAAUUUACUUCAAUUGUUGGGAGUGGUCUGUCCAUUGUUUCCAAUGCUGCUUCACGAGAUAUUCUAUUAUAAAUCUGGGGUCCCGCUGAUUGCUUUGUCCAUUAUACUUUUAGCCCUAUGUUGACUUUCUUUGGAGAUUCGGAAUUAUUCACUGGUUACUGGAUAAAUAUUGGGGCUUAUUGCUUGAAUUGUUAGGACUGUAGUAGCGCAAAUUUCUGGGUUGUUUGUUGAAUCGGAAGGGCAUUGUGACCCUGUAUCGCUUCUUGAAGUUGGUUAACUAAUUUUGGUUUACUGGGUGUGUUUAGUCUCUUGAUUUCACUUGCCUUCCGUAGUCGUUGCAAAUGAGUUCAUUUGCUGCCUUUGUUGGAGUAUCUGUUGCGAGUGUGGCAUUGUAUAGCUUCUACUGUUAGCUGAUCCAUUGGGGGCCAUAGGUAGCAUUUACUCUGCUCUGUUAUAUCUAUUUCAUUGAUUUUGGACUACGUUUUGCACCAGUGGUACUGGUUGGGGUAUUUUGAUUAGCAUUUGUUAUUUCCAAUUGGUUGGCUGCCUGAUUAAAAAGGAAAAACUUGUGAUUGUGUGGUUAUUGUCUACUUUCUAUACUACUAUUGCUGGAAUUGCCGCUUCUGAGUUGAAAAUUAACUAUCCACUUGGAGACUUUGUUGAGAUUUUGGGUGGACAGAGUUGUGCAUUUGCUGGUUGAAUUGAGUUAUGAUGUCUCAGAACUGGGGCAUGUACUUCACCACAUUGGUUUCCCUCCGCAGCUGCCAAAUACCCUUAGCCACUCGAGAGGGAAGUUUCUUUGUCCUCUUCACUUUAAUUGUUUUAUUCCCUCCAUUGAGGACAAUGUAGGAUCUAGGUGUGGGGGGGACAGCUAUGCUAGUUUCUUUGCUAGUUUCUUUUUCUAGUUCUUAGUUUUCAGAUAUUUUUCUUUUAUUUUUAGUCUGUUAUUUGUCUAGUUUUCGUUUACAUUUUGUCAUUUAUCUGUCUAGCUCUCCUAUGACUGCCAAAUUUGAUGUUGGAUUGUUGCCCCUAUUUCUACUUUUGCCAAGUUUUAAUAAUAAAAAUGUGUCGAGUUAAUGUGGUUGAAUCAAGAGCAUUCCUUUGGUGAAUAUCAGUGAUUAUGUGGCUCUUAUAAUUUUUGGUUAACUUUCCUAGACAUAGGGAAUGAUUAUUGGCAUUUUCAUGUGAAUUGGUCCGGUUAUUAACUUUAGUUCUCCAUGUUUGAACAUGAGGCUAGCUGAUGCAAGUUUUCUUUUGGUUCUUGUGUUAUAUUGAGUUUUUUUUUAUUUUUAGCUAUGAAUAAACUUGACUGUACUCCGCUAUUAGUUACUACUGAGUAACCGGGGAUCUGCACCUAAAAGUGUUGAUUCUAGCGUCAAAAGGUAGUAAUUCCUAUGAAUACGUGGUCACGUGGCGAUAGAAGCUGAGUAACCGGGCUCUUUCAUCUGGCCAAUGUUGGAGUUCGCGUCAAAAGGCUUAAAUGGCUAGCGACUAAGUCUUUUGUUACUAUUGAAAAAAAAAGAAAGAAUCAAAACAAAAAAAACAAAAAAAAGAAAAAAGAAAAAUCAAUCAAAACAAAAAAAAAAAAAAAAAAAAAAGUGAAGGUUGUGUUAGUCAGCUUGCCGAAUUAUGGAUUUAAUGUUGAGAUUUUGUUAAUAGUUGGACCACUUGCUGAUAAAUGUUGUGCGUCAUUCCUUUUUCUUAUAUUAGUUAACUUGAAAUUAGAGGAGUUUGUGGUUUAGAAGCUAACCGAAGUGAUAUUUCUUGGACUUGAUCAUUGGUGCUUGAUUAUUAUUUUUCUUGAUAUCUUGGCAAUUUGGUAGAUAGAGCAAUGGUCAUUAUCACAUUUUGGUAUCUGUUUACUAUUCUUAUGCUUGAGGACAACAUGGUUUAGGUGUGGGGGGAAUUGAUAGGUUGCAAUUCAUUCACUUAUUUUAUUAUUAAUUUCCCUAUUACUUGACCUGAUGUGAAUUAAUUAUUAGAUUCUACUCACUUUUCGUAAUUUACAUUUAUUUCAGGGAGUAGAACGAAAAUAUAAUAACAGGUGCUAAUUUGGCAGGAAAAGAGUCCAGAUGAUAGAGCUUAUUCUAGGGGCAUUUUUGGAACAACAAACGUGAGCCCUUGUUGGGCAAUUGGGCCGAAGUCUUCACUUUCCUGCACAGGAGCCGCCGCAAGGAGUAUUCCUUUAUAUAGGAAAAUUACGCAGGAAAAAGGGAGCUUCUUCUUCUGGUGCGGCGGACGCCGCACAGGAGCAAUAGGCUAAUUGGAAUAGGAGUUGCGCAGAGGAAGAGCAGUGACUCUCUUCUUAGUUUCUUUUGUCCUUUAGCUUAGUUUCUUUUGACUUUUCUUUCUUUUUAGCUUUUAGUAGUUCCUUGUCUUCCUUCGAAUGUUAGCCAAGAGUACAAGCAAUCAAUCAACUCCUGUAGCUUACUUUUCUUAUUGAUUUGAGCGAAUUGAAUUUGCCUAAUUCAUGGAUACGAAGGUCGCAGCUAUUGCCGCAAUUUCUGGUGGGUUUAGUUCAUCAAACAUGAACUAAUUUCACCACUCUAGUCAAGAACAACGGGGGAUUUGGUUCUACUAAAUUUGUGAGAUCGAAUUGUUUUUAUAUAUUUCCAUUAUUCACUGGUAUUUGUCUAUCUUUGCUUUAUGUUCAUAUGGUUGUUUUGUUAUUUGAUUAUCCAGGGCCCGGAUUCUAGAUUAAUUCAAUAACCUGAAGCCAAUUAGGGUAGUUAAAUCCGUAAUUGUUUAAUUAUUCUAAACUGGUGGUAACUGGCAUGAUUGGGUUUGUGUCAGGGAGAUAGACAGGCUAACUUAAAGAGACCCUCGUAGCGUGUUGAUUGGUUAGAAUUAGGCUCUUCUAAUUAUUCAUGCAAUUAGGGAAUUAAACUUCUAUGGUCGUACCUAGGGUUGUUUCCUGAUUAGAGAAAUAGUCAACGGUCGUACCUUGGCUAUCGACAAAUUGAGGAAGAGUUGGUUGUUUAUCGCAUGUAUGACAACUAUAACUAAUUUAUCAGAUAGUAACUGGAAUAAUCCUUGCAUCUGUGAUCGAAUUAAGUGAACCAUCUCCGAAGUUGUCUCUUGGCUAGAGUUCGUCCAUUAUUAUUUUUAUUGUGAUAAUUAGUUAUUUGAGUUGUAGUUAUUUUAUUUUAUUUAUUCCAAGUAAUUUAGUUACUCUCAUUUUUAAAAACCCCCCAUAUCUGGAACUUGAGAAGAAAUUAAAUUAUCCCCAGUCCCUGUGGAUUCGACCCUGCUCACCGCUAUAUACAGAAUUUGUAUUUUAUUUGAGCAGGUAUUUAUUAUUGCACAGGUUCGGCACCUGUCAGCCUUGCUCGUAAACUCCCAAUGACUAGGCUAAUUUGCAAGAAAUUCCUGGGUUGAAUGAUAUUUUUAUAUUAUUAUUUUUCGAAUUGUCAUUUCCUCUACUUGUUUAUUUAUAUAUUAUAAAUUCACAUGAAAAAAGUAGAUAUCCAAAACAUUCUACAGGAGGAAAAUAGCCCCUCCCCCCCCUUUUGUGGAGAAAUAAGUUCAUCUGAAAUUUUUGUGCAACAAACAGAUUCCCUUCCUUCUUUCUUUCUGAGAAGUUAGUUUUUAUUACUUUUAGGUAACUAGUUAAAAUAUUACCACUACAUUCCGUACUGAUACAGAUAUGAGAUGAUUUACUUAUAUUGGCCAUCAAAGUCUUAGAGGCAUAGAAAGGUAGAAAUGCUUUAAUUGUAACUACAAUGAAAAUGAUUUGAGGCCAAGAUGUGUAAGAUCCAUGUCACAUUAUUGCUUCAUGGAACAAUAUUGACGUAAAAGGAGACAAGUUCGCAUAGAAGUAAUUUUGCAGAUAGAUGCUAUGUAAAAUGUCAGCUUGAUGAAGUAAGGUUGACGUUAUAUGUUCCUAUAUAAUCCUGUUCAAUUGAUUUCCAUAAUUUCAUCUCUCCACCGUUCCCAUCCACCAAGUGGGAUCCUUUCUUGAAUAAAAAUUGGUGCCUUAGCAAUUCAGUUUUCUAAAUUGCUCUCAAAUUAACACAUAUAGAAGGGCUCAACUGAUUCUUUGUGCUCUGAGUCCUGUCUGAGCUUUACAGAUACAAGGAGCAAUGGAAAAGUAUCAUGUAGUCAACUGCAGAACACUGAGAAAAAAUAUGUUGCCUGUUAUAGAGCUAAGAUACAACUUCAAGAAGGAUGCAAGCACCUAUCAGGGUUCAGCUAAUCCACAUCUUUCUGCUGCAAAAUACUGGCUACUUUGAACUACAAGCAGCACGGAAGAUAUGGCAAAUUGAGUUCCAAAAGAGGUAAAAGAACACCUCAUCAACAUGUCUACAAAUUGCUGAAUGGUUGGACAGUUUAAAAUCACCAGCCGACAAGGAAGAUCUCCGGCUUUAGCCAUCCAAGGCAGAGAGCAAAAGAGAAUUCCAUCCUGGAUGUUUUCAUCUGAUCUGAUUGAAACAGGAUCUGGUUCAGCAAGGGAUCAUACGACUUUUAAUAAUGUACCAAGGAUAGUAAGAGCUAUGAAGGUUUUGAACUUAAAAUCACUGCAAAACACAAAAACUCAAGAAACUCGGGACAACAUGUAGUCAAGAAUAAGGCCAACACAUAGUUGCAUGACAUUUUUGUUGUAUUUGAAACACUAAAAAAAGAACUUACCAUGAAGAAAGGAGCAACCAGCAAGUAUAGAAGGUGGGAUGAGCUUAAUAGCCUUCAUCACAGCGGAUGAAACAAUUGCAGCAAGUAGCAGCGAGCAGCAAGUAUGCUUGACAGUCUUGACUAACUACGCCAGAGUCCAUGCAGCUUUAUUGCAUGAACAGACAUCUUCUGUGGCUGCUCCAAAAAACUUCUACAUUAGGAGAAGAUUUCUCAAGUUUUAGUUGUCAUAUAAUCAGAAUCAAAGUAUUUAAAAGUAAAAAUUGAAUAGUAAAACAAGAGUAGUAUAUCUGACCUCACCGGACUCUUAGAACCAAAAAGUAGUUUGACAACCAACAGCUUUGGAAACUCCUGGAGUCUUUUUGGCUAGAAAAUCACAACCAAGGAAAAGUGAGACAGAAACCCAUCAUCUACGAGAUUAUCGAACAAAUCACUAAUCAAAUGGUUCAAGAAGCUUGAUAAAUGCGCCUUCAAGAGGUGAUUAAACUUUGGAGCAACUAUUUACUCCCACUAGAAUCAUAAGUUAGGGAGCUGAUCACUUUAGCAAUCACAUCUUACAUCCACAAAAGCAUAUAUAUAAAAUCAACAAAACGAAACUCCUAGUGCUUAUUUCAUAUUGAUGGGUAACUUGUAGGAAAUGCAAACCAAAAAUUAAUUAAUACCAGACAUAAAUCUAAUCUAAGUUCAUCUAGGGUAGAGACCACAAAAAUCUGCUCGUUAAGUGCAGGAGAAAGACGCGCAGCAGAGAAUUGCUGGUUUAAAGUCUUGUAGAAAAGGUUUCUCGAAUUGCUGCAUGUGAUACCGAAUCUAAAACAUCCAAUUCAUUUUCAACUGGGGAAACUUUAGAGUGAGCAACCAUUUCAUCCUGGUGAAAUCACAAAUUUAAAGAGAGUGUGCUGAUGUAGAACGUACAAAGGACAUUAACUGACAUACUAUGAUAAACAAAACUAAAUGCUCAAUUCCACCCCACAUUGGUGCGUUUGUUUCAUCCCCAAAACAUGGUAUUGAAUUAAGCCUCCAUUUGCUAUGUUUGAUCUUUGCAUCAGCAAAUAAUAUGUGAUAGAAAGUGAGGAAUACCAAUUUAACAUUAGAAAUUAACCAAAAAGAUUGUUCAGUUUCAUUAAUUGAUAUGGAGCCAUGCAUGGCUUACUAGUGGAAAAGGUUACGAAAUAUUGUGCUUAUUCUCAUUAAUUGAUAAAAUUUACCUGUAACCUUCAAUCAUGAUGAAGUGAUUGAAAGGACUGUCUCUGCAUCCAACUUGGCAGACCUACUCUGUGUUGCUUCAAUUAUGAGUUGAUAUACUGUCAAGGGAAGAGAGGAUUUUCAAGAGUGAGAAGCCUACAGUAAUUACGAGCCAUCAGGGUUCCCGACUGAGCUUUAAGGCUACAGUCACUGCAAAACAGAAAACUCAGAUUCAGGAUUUCACAUAGCAAAUCAUAAGGCUAACUGGAAAUUGCAUGACAUUUUUUUAGUCAAUUAUUCAGAAAGCCAAAUCAGUAUUUGUUUCUGUUGUGCUUUUCUAACCUAAAUCAGUAAGAAGAUAUCAAAAUUUUCUGCUUAGUCUACAAGUACCGGAAGUGCCAUAGAAACUAUAAUAGUUUUUGUUUAAAACACUGAAAAAAGAGAAGUUUUAUAACAAAAUAUUAAAUAUUAUUUUCCUGACGACAAGAUUUCUUUUGUUUUACAUUACCAGUGGUUAAAAGUCAAAAUUGAGUAGUGAAAGACGAGAGGCAUAUCUAAAAUUACCAGAAAUUUUGAACCAAAACAUGAGAGUAAUGACCAACAGCUGCGAAAACUUCGCAAUUUUCCAUUGUAUUCAUGGUUCAAAAGCCAAAAUCAAGGAGAAGUGAGCCAGAAAACCAUCAUAUACGACUCCGAUGGAGCUAUUACCAGUCAAAUAGUUCAGAUAAGUAUGCAAGUUCAUUAUCAAGAGGUAAAAGUUCAGUCCCCUUAGAAUUACAAUUUUAAACAGAGUGAGAUGACUUUAGCAAUAACAGCUUAAAAUCCACAGAAGCAGACCAUGUAAAAUAAACGAGACUAGACUGCUAGUUGUUCUAAACGUUGAUAAACUAUUUGUAGGAAACGCAGGCCAAAAGUUAUUGAGUUCUUCUAGCCAUAUAGACGGUGCUGAAGAAGCUUCAAAAUUCUGACCUCUGUUCGUGAAGCUAUUCUUCUAUCAAUCCUACAAAAACAAAGCAUAGAACAGAAUAUGAACAGGUUAGAAGAGUAUUAUGUUGUAAGGAGUAAAUGAAGAGCACCAAUAUUUUGGACCUGAUAAGAAAUGCUAAUGCCGCAGCUUUGAAAGAUAAUAAAUAGGACGAUAAAAAGGGAGAAGAGAAAAUUGUGAAAAUAACCACGAAAGGGAGACUUUUUUAGGUUUUCUCACGAGAAGGUUAAUCAGAGGGGGAGGUGAAGAGAAGGGGAGAUUGAUUGUAAAGCAAAUUAAGAAAGUGGUUAUUGAAGGCAAUCUUACUUGAUUGAAUUUGAUCCAAAGGUGAAAGUUGGUUAUUAAUCAACUUAUUUCUAGGAGUUGAAUGUGAGAAACUUUGGACCACUGGGAGUCGGGCCGCUGCUCUCAGGAGUGCAUCUUUCUUUUAACAGAGGAGAACCAUAAACCUGCAGAACUUUUAGUUUGGUGAGACUUCUCAUGGCAUCCUCAGAGGGUAGAUGUCGAAGCUCUUUGAAAAACCAUAAGUGCACGUCUUCAAGAGCCGCAAAGUUUCCGAACCAAUCUGGCAGAGCUUUUAUACCUCCAAAGUCAAGUAGCGUUAGUGACGUCAGAGUGGUCAAGUAUUGGAUCUGAUGUGGCAGGGACUCCAUGUGUGGCAACCCAUAUAAUUCUAAUUCACGGAGUGCGGAUGACGAAGAGGAGGAUAUCAAUCCAGACCAAUCAAAUUCAUUGUAAAUUAAAGAAUUUUCAUGAUCAUCACCGUCAUCUGAGAAGGGACCAAUUGUAAGAUCCCUUAAGCUGGUUAGGAAACCAAAUCCUUUGGGCGUCAUGCUUGUUUUCAGUUUGGGACACUUCCGUAAUUCCAGCUCCAUGAGAGAAGGCGUUUGUUGCAAAUCAAGCGGAAAGGAGAUAAGAUUGUCGCAACCAACCACUCGAAGCUUCUGGAGAGAGGCACAAGAGUGUAGCAUGUCACCUGGCAGAUUCGUCAACCCAUUGCAAUUAUAAAUCUGCAGCUCUUUAAGAGACGUAAAGUUUUGCAGGGGAAGGAGUUCUCUACAUCUGUUGCAGCGAUUAAAUUCCAAACACGCUAACUUGGGAGGUGUUGUUGUUGUUGGCAAAUCCAUUAACCAUCGAGGAAAUUGAUUGCCCAUAAAAUACCAAAUUACCAACUCCUCCAAAUUUUGGUGGGGUCGAAGGCCAUCUAACACAUCUUCGUCAUUGUAGUCGUCGCCUUCUCGAACAGGGGCCCACUUAAGUUCCAGCUCAAAUAGAUUAGCCUUUUCAAAUAGAUUUGCUUUUUCAGCUCCUUUUCUAUCCUUCACUAGUUCCAGAUUGCGUAUCCUCAAUUUGCCUUUGAGGUUCUUCAAGCUUCCAAGCUCUCCAAUUCGUCGACCCUUCUCUCGACCCACAUUAAAGAACUCUAGCGUCUGAAGGCAAGUCAGCCUUCCCAUCUCUAGCGGCAUUUGAAAUUCUUCAUUAUCACUUAUGUAAUAGUGGAGAUGUCUCAAGCUAAUCAAAUCGCACAUCCCCUUCGGAAGAUGUUUAACAUCUGAGUCAAUUAGCGUCAAUGUCUGCAGAUUAUAAAGCUUGCAAAGGAGUCCGGCAAAAUACUGAUUGAAGACCACUCAAGGUUAACGUACCGCAAAUGUAUCAGUUUGCCAAUUGAGACUGGUAGCUCUCGAGUUCUUGUACGAGACAAAUUCAAAACAUACAAGUUCUUCAACUUCAUUAACAUAUCACCAGAUAAGUCACCAUUUACGAUGAAUAAUGUAUGAAGCGAAGUUGAUAGACUCUCCAGAAGUUUUUCUCUGUCUUCUCUGCCACCAGAUGAGUCUAUUGCAAGGUAACGAAUCUGAUCACCUUUGUCUGCUACACGUGUAUCCCUAUCAUUAAUGAUUUUGGUAGACUUCGACAUUGACUCUGCAACGUCAUGGACCAGAUCAUGCAUCUUAUAACAUGUUCCCUGAUAAUUUCUUGUUUCUUCAAACAACGAACUUUGCAAUAAAAUUCUCAGAUAAUUCAUUCCAAUUUCCUCCAUCAUCAUUUGGCUGUUGAGAUCUGCUUGGAGGAAACCUUCUGCCAUCCAAAGUUCGAUGAGCAUAUUCCUUUCUAUCUCACUAUCCUUGGGAAAUAUAGAACAAUAUGCAAAACAUUUCUUAAUGUAUGGAGAUGGCAAAUUAUCAAAACUAAACUUCAGUAUUUGCAUCACACGAUCUCCAUCUCCACUCAAAAGCCUAUUCUCCAAAAUUGAUCGCCACUCCUCUUUUCUCUUUAAAGAUAAUAGACCUCCGAUUACACUUGCAGCCAAUGGUAGACCAUCACAUCUUUUGAUUACUCUCUUUUUAAUUGCUUUUAGUUCAUCAGUUUCUUCUUCCCCUCCAACUACUUUUUCUUUUAGGAUAGACCAACAAUGAUCAUCAGGUAGUUUUCUUAAUGGAUAGGCUUCAUUUUCCAUCAUCCUUAAACGAGUAGUGACAAGACACCAACUUCCAUUGGUUGGAUUGAGCCCCUUCAAGGUGGUGAAAAAGUCAUCCCACAAUGCCUCAUCAUCAUCCCACACAUCAUCAAGCACUAGGAAAUAUCUUUUUCCCCCUAGUUGAUUCCCAAUUUUUCCAACGACGACAUUCCUAUCAUCUACUUCAACCUUUUCUCCCGUCAAUUGCACUAAUAUGAGUUUGAAAAGCUCAACUAUUGGAACUUUUUUCGAUACACAAACCCAAAUCUUUUUGUUAAAGUGCGCAUCAAUUUGCUGCUUGUUGUAUAUCGAUUUAGCCAAAGUUGUUUUGCCUAGACCUCCCAUACCAAUUAUGGGAAGAACAGAAACAACCUUCUUAGACGGGCUCAACAAUAUCUUCACUAUAUUUGAUUCAUCAUCGGCUCUUCCAAUUAUUGGAACAAGAACAGAGUCAGUCUGCCGAUUUCUUGUGUCUCCAACAGCAGGAGCAGCAGGGAGGGCAGCCGUCAAGACUUCCCUACUGACCAGUCCCAAUCCAUGGGCGUCUUGAUAGAUGCCAUUCAACUUAAGUUUGAUGUCUCUGACCUUAGAAGCCAUUCUCCAACGAAAAGCAAGAUUAAUGUUAGAGAAGGAGAAGAAGCAGCAUACCUUGAGCUUGUGUCGGUUUCGGGACUCCACCUGUUGACGAAGGGAUUCAUAGUGGAGCUCAUCCAACACAUUGUCCGCCUCAUAAGCCACCUCCUCGAGACUCUUCAACCAUUCUUGCACUACCCGGUCCUGGUUUUGUUUUCUUUCCUCAGCAUCAGCCAAGAAAGCAUUGAUCCAGCGGAGAGUACGUGUCAUGCUGGCCACAUCCUUCUUGAAGCCAACUAACAUACCAAUCCUGUCAGUGGCAAGAGAUACUGCCGUCUCCAAGGCAACCUGAAUAGUGGCACUAAUGACGGGAUCGGCCAUUUUUUUUUUUUGAAUAACUUGGAUUCAGUCUUGAGAUCAAGAUGGUUUUUCAAAAUGGGAGGUUUUAGCAGCCAGAAAUUGGUAAUGUUACGAGUGGUUAAAAAGAGGAGAGCAUUGGUAUUUGGUCGCUUAAAAGUGCAGAGUUAUUCUUAACUUGGAUGCCUUCCUUGGCAACGGAAAUAUAUAUUCCUUGCUUGGCAUCUUCACUUUAAGUUUCUUGGGAAACUUGGAUGCUUUGAAAUGGAAAUUCCUGGCUUGGGAUUUUCACUUUAACUUUCUUGCUGGGGCCUUCAUCUUUAUUCCAAUUCCAUUGAGGGCUUCAUCUUUAUUCCAUAUUUCAUUCGUUAAUCCUUGAAAGAUGAACUAAUUAGAACAUAAUUUGUGUCUCAAUACAAAAAUCUAUUAGGCUUCUAAUUAUUUUGUAAUUCAGAUUCUGAUAUUGUUGAGCAUUGAGCCUUUUCAACUUUGCAUAAUCAAGAUGCAGAGUCCAAUAGCAAUAUUUCUACUAUGAAGAAGAAAUACAAAAGCCGUAGGAAAGUGGUUCCUAGGCCAAUAAGGCACUUAUAAAAGAGUUUAGAAAAUAUUCCUAAACUCAAAACAAGAGAGCCUAAAAUAUUUAACUGAAUGGGCUAGAUGACUCAAGAAGCUAAUAGCCCAUAUAACUCUCUUGAGUGGUGCGAUUGAAACCUUCAUAUGAGCCCCCUAUUUAUAGUUGUAUUUGGGAGGCUUUCCUUCUGCUUCAGGCGAUGUGGGAUGAGGAAAUUUUGCCACAGUCAAGGAUUGCGGCUGAAGAAUUGCGGCUCAACAAAUCUCCACCUUGGCAUAAUUUUGAGUCCCACCAUCGUCAAUAGUAAAAUCGCUCCACCUUCUCCACAUAAGACCCAAUGGGUCUAAAUCACAAAUAACGAACACCAACCAAGUCCAAGCACUGCUUGAACUUGUAAUUUGGAAGAGGCUUCGUAAACAUAUCGGCUGGAUUGUCCUUAGUAUUGAUUUUCUGAAUAAGGACUUUUCCCUCAGCAAUGAUAUCUCGAAUGAAGUGAUACUUCACAUCAAUAUGCUUCGUCCUCUCAUGAUACAUCUGAUCUUUAGUCAAGUGUAUGGCACUUUGACUAUCACAGUGAAUAUCAGUAACACCUUGAUAUAGACUUAACUCGCUAAAUAAACUCUUCAACCACAAGGCUUCUUUGAUUGCCUCGGUCACAGCCAUAUAUUCUGCUUCAGUAGUAGACAAAGCUAUGACAGGUUGUAGAGUAGCUUUCCAACUAACAGCACAACUGCCAAUGCAAAAUACAUAGCCUGAAAGUGAUCUUCUCCUGUCAAGAUCCCCAGCGUAGUCUGAGUCUACAAAACCAACCAAAGUGUUAUUAUUUCUUCCAAACUCCAAACAUACAUUUGAAGUACCUCGCAAGUAUCUGAGAAUCCACUUCACAGCCUGCCAAUGUGUUUUACCAGGGCAAGACAUAUAUCUGCUAACAACACUGACUGCUUGUGCAAUAUCUGGACGAGUACAAACCAUUGCAUACAUAAUACUGCCGACUGCACUGGAAUAAGGAACCCGUGCCAUAUAAUCUUCCUCUUCAUCUGAUUUUGGUGAUUGAGCAGCAGAUAGCCGAAAAUGGCUAGCAAGAGGAGUAGAUACUGGUUUAGCAUCUUUCAUGCCAAAACGCUCCAAGACUUUCUCAAGGUAAUUUUUCUGGGUCAAAAAUAACUUUCCUACUCCUCGAUCUCGAUUGAUAUCCAUGCCAAGAAUUUUCUUAGCUGCUCCUAAAUCUUUCAUUUCAAAUUCACUAUUUAACUGCAGUUUCAAGGUGUGAAUUUCUGACAAAUUCUUGGCAGCAAUGAGCAUGUCAUCAACAUAAAGCAGCAAAUAAAUGAAAGAACCAUCAUUUAACUUCCGGAAGUAAACACAGCUAUCAUACAUGCUCCUCAAAUAACCAUGACCCAACAUAAAGGAAUCAAACCUUUUAUACCAUUGUCUUGGAGACUGCUUCAAUCCAUAUAAGGAUUUCUUCAACAAGCAAACAUGGUCUUCCUUACCUUCAAUUUCAAAACCCUGGGGUUGUCUCAUAUAAAUUUGUUCUUCAAGUUCGCCAUGUAAGAAAGCUGUCUUAACGUCGAGCUGUUCUAACUCCAAAUUAUACAUGGCAACUAAAGCAAGCAAAACACGAAUAGAGCUAUGUUUAACAACAGGUGAGAAUAUAUCAUUAAAAUCAACACCUUGUACCUGACUAUAGCCCUUUGCAACUAAUCGUGCUUUAUACCUUGCAUUUUCAACCCCUGGAAUACCUUCCUUUUUCUUGAAGACCCACUUGCAACCAACAAUUUUCUUAGCUGACGGCGGCUUUACAAGAACCCAAGUUUCAUUCUGAUGAAGAGAUUCAAUUUCUUCAUUCAUCGCAAUCAACCACUUUGCAGAAUCAUCACAAGAAACUGCUUCUAAAUAGGUGGAAGGCUCACCAACUGCAUCAGUUUCUUCUGCAACAGACAAAGCAUAUGCAACUAAAUUUGCAUAUCUUUGUGGUGGUCGAAUUUCUCUCCUUGCUCUAUCUCUGGCUAUGGAAUACUCAUCUUCUUCUGAACUAUCUUCAACAGUAGAUUCAGGUGCAUCUACUGGCACUUGCUGAAUAGAAGAUUUGGAUUGAGAAGGACCAGAACUGCCAAUAUCAAGCUCCACUUGCUUCUGUGUACUAUCAAUAGUACAAGGACUAGAAGACUCCUUCUUGGAAGAUAACAUAGACAAUUCAUCAAAAGUAACAUCUCUACUGAUUACAAAUUUUGGGGAUUUGGGAUCAGGAUACCAUAAUCUGUAUCCUUUCACCCCAGAAGCAUACCCAAGAAAAAUGCACUUUUUAGCCCUAGGCUCCAAUUUUCCAUCAUUCACGUGCAUGUAUGCUGGACACCCAAAAACUUUUAAAUUGGAGUAAUCAGCAGGAGUACCUGACCAAACUUCCUCAGGAGUUUUGAAAUCAAGAGAUGCAGAAGGAGAACGGUUGACAAUAUAACAGGCCAUAUUGAUCGCCUCUGCCCAAAAGUCGUUUGUCAACCCUGCAUUGAAGAUCAUACAUCUUGCUCUCUCCAAAAGCGUUCUGUUCAUACGUUCGGCCACACCAUUUUGUUGAGGCGUCAUCCUGACGGUGUGAUGCCGAGCAAUUCCUUCAUUCUUACAAAAUUCAUUAAAUUCACCUUCACAAAAUUCCAUGCCAUUAUCUGUUCUCAACCGCUUAACAUGUUUUCCUGUUUGUUUCUCAAUCAAAACUUUCCAUUGCUUGAAAGUUAAGAAAACAUCAUUUUUAUGCUUAAGAAAAUAGACCCAAACUUUCCUUGAGUAAUCAUCAAUGAAAGUCAACAUGUACCUGGCACCACCUUUUGAAGGAGCACGAGAAGGACCCCAUAGAUCUGAAUGAAUGUAAUCAAGAGUACCUUUUGUCUUGUGAAUUGCUGGUGAACUGAAGCUGACUCUUUUCUGCUUCCCAAAAAUACAAUGUUCACAGAAUUCCAAUGGACCGGUACUUUGUCCACACAGAAGUCCUCUUUUGCUCAGUAUGCCCAAGCUUUUUUCGCUCAUAUGCCCCAAACGCAUAUGCCAUAAUUUGGUGAUGUCUGUAUCUGACAAAGAUGAUGUUGAAACAGCAGCAGCACCUGUAACAGUAGAUCCUUGCAAAAUAUACAAAGUACCAGAUCUGUGUGCCUUCAUAACAACAAGAGCUCCUCGAGUGAUUUUGAGAACUCCAUCUCCACCUGAAUACCUGCACCCGAUAGACUCAAGAGUGCCCAAAGAGAUGAGAUUUUUCUUCAAAUCUGGAACAUGUCUAACAUUUGUGAGCGUCCUCACAAUACCAUCGUACAUUUUAAUCCGGAUUGUGCCUUUGCCAACAACUUUACAAACAGCGUUGUUGCCCAUUAAGACAACUCCACCUUCAGUUGAUUCAUAUGUUGAAAACCAGUCCCUAUUGGGACACAUAUGAUAUGAACAACCCGAAUCUAAAAUCCACUCAUUGUUAGACCUAAAAUUAUUUUCCGUUGCACAGAAAAUAGUUCCAUCAUUCUCAUCAACGGCAAUACUAGCCUCGGUGGUUUCACUCCUUUUCUCCUUUUGCUUUUCUUUAUUUUUCAAUUUAAAGCAAUCAGAGAUAAUAUGGCCCUUCUUUUUACAAUAGUUGCACACCACAUUUUUAUGUCUGGACUUAGAUCUACUUCUAUUUUCUGUGUUUCUCCUUUCAGAUCUACCCCGAACAAACAAGCCAUCGGCUUGACUCCCACUAGUUUCCCCAAUAAUAUCCCUAUCUAUCUGCUCUUUAGAUUUUAACGCAGAUUUAAUUUCCCGAUACGAAAUUGUUUCCUUUCCAUAUAUCAUAGUAUCACGGAAAUGCUUAAAGGAUUGGGGAAGGGAACAUAAAAGUAAUAGGGCCUGAUCUUCAUCAUCAAUUUUCGAAUCUAUAUUCUCCAAAUCCAUAAUAAUGGAAUCAAAUUUAUCAAGAUGGGAGAGUAUAGAUGUACCUUCAGACAUCCGAAGCAUAUACAAACUCUGCUUCAAAUAUAGCCGAUUCUCGACUGUCUUCUUCAUAUACAAGGCUUUCAAUUUAUCCCACAUAGCCUUGGCCGAAGUCUCCGUUGCUACCUCACGCAAUACCUCAUCGGAGAGAUUUAGGAUAAUACUGGAUCUUGCCUUCUUAUCCAUCUCAGCAAAAUUUGCAUCUGUCACAUCUUCUGGCUUUUUCUCAAUUCCUUGAAUUGCCAAAUCAACUCCGUCUUGAACAAGAAUGGCCUCCAUCUUGAGCUGCCACAUGCCGAAGUUGACAUUCCUGUCGAAUUUCUCGACAACCGUCUUUGUUAUCGUCAUUGUUGCCACAAAAUCUGUAACUUGAAAUUUGUCUCAAAAAAAAAACUGGCCAAACAAAUAUGCAAGUCUCGUGAGCGGGCCCCACAGGGUGAGCGGACCCUAAGCGGGCCCCACGGGGAUGAACGGACCCCACAAGGUGAGCGGGCCCCACGGAUAAACGGACCCCACAGGAUGAGUGGGCCCCACAGGAUGGACGGGCCCCACCAGAAUGAACCUGUCUUGCAAAAUAUAACAACCAGCUCUGAUACCAGUUUGUUAGGACCGGGCCAGGAAAUAGAUAAACUCAAGUUAGAACAAAGUAGGCGAUAUAACCGACCAUAUAAUAGAUAGGCGGUAGAUACCGGCCAUAUAAUAAUUAGGCGGUAAAACCGACCAUAUAAAGACGGAUAACAAAGCAAAUAAAAGACACAGAAGAUUUACGUGGUUCGGUCAAAUUGACCUACGUCCACGGGCGAGGGAGAAGCAAUAUUUCUACUAUGAAGAAGAAAUACAAAAGCCGUAGGAAAGUGGUUCCUAGGCCAAAAGGCACUUAUAAAAGGUUUAGGAAAUAUUCCUAAACACAAUACAAGAGAGCCUAAAAUAUUUGACUAAAUGGGCUAGAUGACUCAAGAAACUAAUAGCCCAUAUAACUCUCUUGAGUGGUGCGAAUUGAAACCUUCAUAUGAGCCCCCUAUUUAUAGUUGUAUUUGGGAGGCUUUCCUUCUGCUUCAGGCGAUGUGGGAUGAGGAAAUUCUGCCACAGUCAAGGAUUGCGGCUGAAGAAUUGCGGCUCAACAAAUCUCCACCUUGGCAUAAUUUUGAAUCCCAUCAUCGUCAAUAGUAAAAUCGCUCCACCUUCUCCACAUAAGACCCAAUGGGUCUAAAUCACAAACAACGAACACCACUGUUUAUGCAGCCUGACUUGAAGCCCCAAUUUGUAACGUAGAGAGAUUCACUCAGAAAAAGAUCAGCUUCCCAAUCUAUUCUCGCAAGUAGAAAAAAACCAAUAUUCAGCAACCAAAAAAUAAAGAGAAAACUUGGAAAGAACAUGUGCAUUAUAUUCCUUGCUUGUGUUAAUACCUUGAAAUGUGGAUGAACUUUGGCAAAGAAUAACUUGGAAUGUGGAUUUGCUUCAAACUUAUAUUCUGAAAUGAAGUUCGGCAAUAGAGGCCUAAACAAUUAUUCAGCCUUACUGCUUUAGAAAAUUUAUCUAAAAAAAUCAACCACAGAGCGAUAGUGAUUCAUAGAUUGAUUAUCACAUAAACAAACAAACUCAUGCUUGUAAUGUGCACCUGAUUGAAAUGACCCAGGACACAACAGCAUUGAUGUACUAAAAUUCUUUGUUAAUUUUUGCCUGUCAAGAUGAAAAUUCACCAUUCGUCAUUUUGUGGGUGGUUGCUUAAUGCGUUACAUAUUUGGCCAGGAAUGAACAACUCAAAGUCAUCUAUUGUAGCAAGUAGAAAAAAACCAAACUUCAGCAACCAAUAAAUAAAGAGAAAAACUAGGAAAGAACACGUGCAUUGCAUGUGUACAUUGUUGAGGAAAACUCGUUUAACUUUUAAAUUUAUGUAAUACGACUGGAAGCUACAAAAAAUUCAAAACUUGCAAACUUCCUAAGUUGCUUUUCAAUUAGGCAAACUACUUAAUGGAUGAUUAAAAGUUUUUGUUUUCAUUGUUUCCUAUCUUAGUUUCUUUUGGAAUUGUUCAUAAUCUUUUGUAAUGUUUAUCUUUUGUUUAUAGUAUAGUUUAGUCGUGGAUAACAUGAGUCAAAGAAAUAAAUUGCUUUUAAUGAGAAUAUAAUACAAUAGUGAUUCACUAUCCAUAUGAAAGAGAAUCAGCUAGAACAUUUUUUGGUAUAAUAUGAUUCCAAAUAUUGCAUGGGAAGCGUAAACUUCUUUUUAUCUAAUUUGUUUCAACUUCAUACUUUUCCUUCUUUUUUUAGUUUAUAUUGACAAUUACUUGAUGAAGCACAUUCAAAUACAUAAAAACAAGUGAUUCAAUGUUGGUUUCAUUGCUCAAAGGAAAAACUUUUAGUAUUUUUUUGUUUUUUCAAAGGAAAAAAUUUGACCGAUGAUUAAGAACAUAGUGCUCAACCAAAGUCCUAACUAACUAAAUAAAAAAAUAGUAGAUUGUGAUGCUUAAUAAUUCAAGAGAUUGAUGAACAAAAUUCAAGAAGACCUUUCUGUUUAAGUGCAAGUAUAGAAGAGAGAGAAAUGCCAAAUUGCAAGUUAAGCUUAUUCUUUUGCCAUUUCAAUCAAGAAUGUCAUUUCCAGCCUUCAAAAGUAAAGAUUUACUCACAUUGACUAAAAUGAAAAAAAAAAAUUGUGUCACUAAUUUUCAUUUUUUAUAAAUUUGCACAAACUAUCAUAAUUAAAAUUUAAUAAACCUAACAAAAACUUUAAAUGAUAGUCAUAUACAAAUCUCCAAGACUGUUUGCCAAGAUCGAAAUAGUGAGGGGUAGAUCUCAACACUCAAAUAAUGAGACAUUGUAUUGUAACUUCAAAUCACAUUUUUGGAAUUUGGCAUAUCUAUAAAACAUUGUCUAAGGUAUAAUAGUGAGACCUAAAAUAUUUGUUGUUAGAAUAUAAUCUAGCUAAUCCUUAUUUUUGGGACUAUGUUGUUUAAUACUUUUUUAGGUUAUGUUAUUUAAACGUUGGUUGCCAGGGAAUCAUUAAUGUUUCUAACUUUCAUUAACUUGUACUAAUAUUCUUUAGAAUUGCUUGCGGUUUGUUUUUUUUUUUUUUUUUGUGAUUAUGAUGAGAAUAAGCAUUUGACUCCAAAUAUAACUUAAAAUUUUCAUUGGCACCAGCUUCUUGCACUUUUUUCUUUCUUCUUUAUCUAAAAUGCUUAAAAAGGAUAAAAAAUUGAAAGUUACCUAACACGAAAGAUAACUUGGAAACCGUUGAUGCUCAAGAAAAACCUUUAAAAUUUAAAUAACUUGUAAACUAAUAUUAAGUGCUUAAAUUUCAAAUCUCUAAAAUUUCAGACAAGGUUUGAAAGUAAGAGGAAAGAGAAUGAUUGGUCUAAUUUUUACUUUUACACGGUUAGAGAUCCUUAAUUGUAAAAUUUGUCCUAAAUGUGCAUCAUAUUCAAGAUCACUUGCAAACAUAAUGAAUAAUUAGAGAAGAUUAUUCACAAGUUUAGAAAAUUUUAUAUUUAUAUAAAUUUUUUAACCUUUAGAAUAAUAACCAAUUAGAAUAGUAGACUAUCUACAAAGCAUUUAAUUUUAGUCAUGGUAAGAUUGAUGAAGGUUUGCAUCUUCAUCUUGGAUUGUUCCUUCUUUCUUAUUUCUUCUUUGACUCACAUAUAUAUAUAUAUUUUGGAUUUCACAUGCACUUAUGCCCAUUGCUAAAAGUUUUGUUCCAUACUUUCAAAAUAACUCAUAAUCCAGUAUAUCCUUAUUUUAACUCUUUGAGAUACUAGUACCAUUUAAAGUUUUCUCAUUCUCAUAUUCUCCGGUUCUUCUUGCCAAUAGUCAUAUAGCUUGUUUUAGAUAGUUAUGAUUUUCAUUAUGCUAAAGUUUACUAUAUAGGUUGCUUACAUAAACAAAUUAAGAAGUUUGAUGAAUUUUUUUGUAUCCUACAUUAACUAAUGUAAAAGGCUUUCAUCUUUCAUGGAUGCAAUUUGUUUUGUCAGUUUUAAAUCUUGCAGAUUUGUUUGCAUUAAUAAAUAAAUGAACAUGGUUCCUUUUUCUAUAUAGAGCUCUAACAUUGUCGUCUAGAUUAUUAUGGUUUAAAUCAUAUUCACACAUGUAUUUAAUGUAUUUUACAACUUAGUUAUAGCUUUUGAAAUUUUGCUAUAGACUUUUGUAGGUAUGGCAUAGUGAUUCCUAUUUAUUAUACAUCACGAUUUUCAAUGAAAUUUUAUUAUGAUUCCUAUUUUCUUCCUUUCUAUGGGAAAAAUUAUCUAAGGGAAGAAAAAUGUUGAUUCUUUGAAUAGAGAAAAUUAUAUACUAAAAGAUACAUUAUUCGAGAUAAGGAAUUGAUCUGUAAACAAAAACUAUCUCAAUUGACAUGUUAAAGUGAAGAUUUACUAUAAUCAUUUGAAAGUAAUCUACCAUAUAAUAGUCUCAUUUGACAUAACAAUUUUUUUAGCAUGCCAAUAUGAAAAAUGUAACGUAAAUAGACUAUAUGUUUAGUUACUUUUCCUUGGUUUUGUUGCUUAUUGUGAUAUUUGGAAGGAAAAAAAAUAGGGUUAUUAUCGCUUUAUCACCUUCAACUAUAUCACUACUAUCAGUUUACCCCCUAACGUUAUCUUUUAGUCACUUCACCCCUAUAAGUGAUAGGUUGCAAUUUUAUUAUUUAUUUUAUUAUUAAUUUCCCCUAUUACCUGACCUGAUGUGGAUUAAUUAUUAGAUUCUACUCAUUUUUCGUAAUUUACAUUUAUUUCAGGGAGUAGAACGAAAAUAUCACAACCAAAGCUAAUUUGACAGUCAUCGGGAAAGAAUUCAAAUGGAAGGCAUUCAGGGGCAUUUUGGAACAAGGAGACACAAGUCCGUUUUGGUAAUUUGGCCGAGGACAGCAAAAGAAAAAAAAAAAAAAGAAAGCAAGCUUGGGCAAUCUUCGUGGGCCUACGGAUUGGAGCCGCCGCACAGAAGUAGUAUGCGUUAGAUAGGAACUAGAAGUUGCAGAGGAUUAGCACUCCUUUAAUUUUGGACUUUUCCUUUUUGCUUUUGAAUAGUUUUCUUCUUCGUAUGGAGGACAAAAGGGGAGGCCAUUGAUCACUUUCCGUAGCGUUGCUUUUUUUCCUUUGACUUCCCAGCGAAUUAACUCCUCUUGAUAGGAGACAAUGUCUGUGAAUAGUAUUUCUGAAUUCUCGCGUGGGUUAUGAACUAAAUCCCCUUUUUCUAGUCAAGAAACAACGGAAGUUUUGGUUCAUCUAAAAAUUGUGAGAUCGAUUUAAUUUUAUCUUUUCCUUUUAUUUAUUGGUAUUCGCAUAUUCUUUGAUCACAGCGCUUACGAUUGUUCAAUUAAUUGAUUUUCUUGGAUCCGGAUAAUUAGUUAAUUGGGUAGUCUAUUGUCAAUUGAGACAUUAAAUCCGUAAUUGUUUAAUUGCCUUGAAAUAGUGACAACUGGCAUGAUUGGAUUUGCGUCAGGAGAAUACGUGGGCUAACCUAAAAUAACCCCGGUAGUGCGUUAUUUGGUUAGAAUAGGGCUCCUCUAAUACGUAAGACAAUUGGGGAAUUAAAUCUUAUGGGCGUACCUAGGAUUAUUUCUCAAUUAGAGUAGUGAUUAACGGGCGUACCUUAAUCACCGACACAGUAAGGAGAGGUUGACUGUUAUCGCUUGUUUGGCAGUUAUAACCUAUUUAUUGGUAAAUAAUUGGAAUUGGUUUUGCAUCGAUGAUCAAUUAGGUGAACCAUUGCUGAAGUUAUUUCUUGGUUAGAUCCUUAAUUAUCACCCAUUUGAUUUUAGUAAUUUGUUAUUUAAUUUUUAAUAGCUUCUUAGAUUUUAUUUGAAUUUCUUUGAUUGUCACCUUCUGCACAAAAACACCCCCUUUGUUACUGUGAGUUUGAAAAGAAACAGUUACACCCAGUCUCUGUGGAUUCAACCCUGCUUACCACUAGUUACAAAAAUUAACUUUAGUUGAACAUGUUUUUAUUAUUGCACAAGGUGACAACCUGUCAAUAAGUAAUUCAAUUUAACAUAUUAAGAAAUUUUGGGCAAAAUACCCUUUUAUUCUAUAGCAUUACUAAAUUAUUAUUAUUACUUUAUUCCUUUAGAUCAUAGUGAUAUAAUCGCUUUAAUUCCUAACAUUAUUUUCUAGGCAUUUUACUUCAUCGUUAAUCUAAUUAGUAUGGUCAAAAAAUUUUAAAUAUAUUGACUAUUUUAUAUAUAUAAUUAAAAAUAAAAAAUUUGAAAUGAUUAUUCUUCUUUUUUUCACUUUAAAAGAUCCAAAAUAUAAAAAAUAAAAGGAUUUUUUCAAAUUUCUUUUUUCACACUUAUUAAUAUUAGGAAAAGAAAAAGAGAUGGGAAAGAAGGAGACAAAAAAUUAGAUUUUGCAAAGAAAAUAAUAAAGAAAAGUCUAAUAUUAUCUUAUUAAUUUAAGGUUGUUGGAAUUAGAAUUGAAAUCUAGUGGUAAACAUUAAAGUAAAACAAUUUUAAAACAAUAAAAGUAUUUAAUUCUUUCUUAUUUGUAUUUAAAAAUAAAGAAUUGAGCUAUCUCUCUUCUCCUCCCAAUCUUUCUAUUUGUUUUAAUAUUAAUAAGAUUGGCAAGAAGAAAGAGAUCAAUACUUUGAAUUUUUUUCUUGAUACUAAAGAUGAAAAGAGCCACUUUAAAAUUUUUAUUGUUUUUAUUAUACAAAGAGGAGAGUACUUUCUCUAAAAAUUUUUAACUUGCUAAGUUAGUUUAAUGGUGAGAUAAAUUGCCUAAAAAAUAACUCUAUGGAGUAAAUUGAUAAUGAGACUAUAGUUUAUGAGAGUAAAGUGAUAAUAACUUUCAGGGCUAAACUUGUUUUUUUACUUUAAUUAACAAACUCCGUUAAGUUUGACCGUUAGUUUUGGGCGUAAAGUGACUAAAAAAUAAUAUUAAAGGAAAAUUUGAUAAUGGCAUCAAACGUUAACAGGGUUAAGUGAUAAUAAUCCAAAAAAGUAUGACAAGCUUUAGUGCAAAGCAAACGUGCCUAGCUUAUAUGCCUUAAUUAGAUCGUGGAUUCCUGUUUAAAAUAGUAAAUGGGUACAAUUUUGUGCGAAUCUUGGUAAAUGAGUUUAAUGGUCCCUCCAGUCCUAUUGAAUAUAUUUUGUUCCUCAACUUCUAAAAGUAUUAUCAGGUCUCAAAAUGUAUAAAUUUAGUUCUAAUUGAUCCCACAAGCAAAAUUCAAUUAAGACAAAUUUUAUAUCUUUCCACUAAAUAACAUUUAGUUUGAUGUUUCUUAGAUGCCUUCCACAUUUAUAAAAGCAUUAAAAUCACAGUAGAAAUGGCAUUGGUUUAUGAACUUUGGUUUUCACAAAAAUUGAACUAACCUUGCAAUUUCACAAUAUUUCUUUCUCAAGCAAAACAGUUCUUUAAAAAUUAAGCUGUCUCCUUCUAUUGAACCCAUUUUUCCUAUAUUCUCCACUGGGUAUCUAACAUUCUAGAGUGUUAAAAAGCUGAUUUAGAACUUUAAAAUUAAGGUGGGCUAGUAAAGCUGAAAAUUAAGGUACCAAAAUUGGCAUACAUUUUUUAUUGGGUAAAAAAGAUGCAUCAUAUAGAGAAUAGUUUAUUAGCUACCAAUAUUAUUAAAAUGUGUCUGAAAUAGUUAAAUAACCAGGGAUAAGUAGUCAUACUCCAAUCUAGAUCCAUUUGCUAUUCAAACCAUCCCUAAAUUUUUGGAACCUCAAGGUUCAAUAUUUCUAAUCUAGUUCCUUAGUCUUUGACGUGUCUUUAUAAAUAUAAUUGGCAUUAAAUAGUAUGAAGUGUGUUUAUCCAAAUCAUUAAACCAAUAGGGACUGGUAGAAUGAAGAUGUUAUCCUUUAUGCCUUAGAGUUCUUGUAAGUGUUGACAAAAUUCUCUAAAUUAGUAGUCUCUUGAGAUUUUAAUAAUAAACAUUCAUGUGACUACUACGUAGUUAUAUUGCUAAAUACUAAAUUCUAAUAGUCAAAAAGAGACAGAAAAGCAAAACCCAUUAUCCAAUUAAACAAAGAAUCCAACUAUUCAACGAAUCAUGUAAAGGAAAAAAGUUUCUGCCAUACAACUAACAAGGUAAAGAAACAACUUGCAAAGUUAAGUUAUAAAAUAUGGGAUCUCUUUUGAUAUGCUGCAUAAUAAUUAAGUUUUAAAUUUAGAAAUCUUAUUGUACGUCGUGUAGGGGUGAGCAGAUUCGGUUCGUACCGAAUUCAUAACUGAUUUCAAAUUCAAUUCAGUAAUUUGAAAUCGGAUAUUUGGUAAUUCGGUACCAAUUCGGUGCAUACCGAAUUCACCGAAUUCUAAUAUGGUAUAAAAUAGGUAAUGGGAUUAUGAAUUUGGUAAUAACCGAUUUCGAAUUCAAAGUUCGAUAAUUGAAAUCGGGUACCGCAUUACCGCAUUCGAAUACCAAAUUGAUAUAUAAAAUUAUAUAAUAUAUAGAUAAAUGCUAUUUAGUAUUAGUAUAUACUACUAAUACUUUAUUAUAUUAUAUAGGUAAAUGCUAUUAAUAAUAAUUAGUAUAUGGUAUUAUCAUCAUAUCAUGUACUUAUAUUACUAAUAAUAUAUAAUAAUGUACAAUAUAUUUAUAUUAUUUUAGUAUUUAUUAAUUGUUAUAUGACUACAAUAAUGCAUAGUAAUACAUUACAAGAUAAGAUAACUAUAAUACUUAUUAUUUUAUACAUGAGUAACAUACUAACAUGACUAGAAUUAGAUAAUAAUUAAUACAUAUAUGUAUAAUACUAAAUAUUAAACAAUAAACAUAAUUAGUAAUUAGAAUUUAGAUAUUGGUAAUUUGAUGCAUCAUUCAUGUUUGAAUUAUUGAAUAUUUGAAUGCGUAAUCUAUAACUUGCAAGUAUUAGUGUACUCUAAAUUUACAUUACAUAUUCACUAAUCUUAAGGCUUUAAGUAUAGAUAAGACAAUUAAGCAGUGUAAGUGAAUGUAUAUGAAUUGCAAAUCAAUGUAUUAGUGUAUUGACUUUCACAAUAACAUAUGUAAGUAAAUAAGUUUAAUUUUGAUUUAAAAUAAAUUAUAAGUUUGUAACUAACAUAACUUAUCACUAAUCAUUGUAAUUUGUAAGUUUGUAACUAAUAUUACUUAUUAUUAAUCAUUGUAAAUUAUAAAUUCAUAAAUUAUUACUAAUCAUUGUACAGUCUAAGGUUUAUUCUAGUUUAAAUUAAUCACUUUUUAUAUGUUCCUUAAAUCAUAGACUAAGGAUUGUAGGUAUAAGUGAUCAAAUAAGUUAAAAUUCAUAUUCUCUAUUUACUAAUCUUAAGGCUUUAAGUAUAGACAAAAUAACUAAGCAGUGUAAGUGAAUGCAUGUGAGUUGCAAAUCAAGUAAAUAAGUUUUAUUUUGAUUUGAAAUAAAUUAUAAGUUUGUAACUAAUGUAACUUAUCACUAAUCAUUGAUUCAUUGUAAUUUGUAAGUUUGCAACUAAUAUUACUUAUUAUUAAUCAUUGUAAAUUAUAAAUUCAUUAUAACUACUAACUAAAUUAGUUUAAAUUAAUCACUUUUUAUGUGUUUCUUAAAUCAUAGACCAAGGAUUUUAGGUAUAAGUGACCAAAUAAAUGCCAAUUAAACCACAAAAUGAUUUGAACAUAAGUAAUGUGUUCAAUUAUGAAUAAAUUUGGGGAUCAAAUCAAUAAUAAUUUUUAAAUCAUUAAGGAGCAUAAUGAAUGUAUUAUAAUUUAGGAGCCCCAAUUUAUAAAUUAAAAAUUACAAAAUCACUUCAUUUGGGAAAAGUCGGAUUUCAUCUUUAGUUGAUGAAAAGUGAGAAAACAACCAUUGCAAAUUUGCAAUAUUGCAUAGUGCCGUGAAUUCGGUUAGACCGAAUUCAUUACCGUUUUCGAAUUUGAAAUCGGGUACCGCAUGAAUUAGGUAAUGCCCAAUUCGAAAUUGAAAACGGUUUAGAUUUCUAUAAGUGUAAUAACCGAAAAAACCAAAUUCAGCGCACCGAUUUACCGCAUUUGCACCGAAUGCUCACCUCUAACGUCGUGUGCGUGUUGCUACCAAUAUGUAUAAAUUAAUCAUAAUUCAUCUUGCGUGUCUUGGUAGGGCCUAGAAGGACAAAUUGCAAAAUAACGCGUUGUCAAAGAAAGCAAUAAGUUCAACAUCAUGAGUUAAGAGUUGUAACAAAUUUUCUCACGGACGAUCUUUCAAAAUUUGAAACUAAAAAAAAUUUGUCAAUCCUAUAACAAUGAGUAAUUCCUGAUUCUGGAGCCAAAACAACCAUAUAAUAAUUAUGUGCCAUCUGUUGAAUUCAAGGUCAACCAAUAUUUUAUAUUUUAUGUUCUGGUAUGUCAGUUUUAGAUUAGAAUGAAUCUCAAAAAAACUAACUCUCUAUGGAAAUUUUAUAACUUAACAGAAAGGAGAUAUGAACAUGAUGCUAUGGAGAUGAAUUCUUUGGAGAGAGACUCAACACAGCACAUGAAGAGCAACUGAAGUGAUUUGCUUAUAUGGGACUUCUUCUUUCACUGAUUUCUUGAUUUUUUUAAUGUUUAUUUGUGCUGAAAAAAUAGAGAAAAUAGAGAAGCCCUGUAUGCUUCACUUAUGCUAGUUGAGGCAGUGAAAGAAAUGCGGCAAAAGGUUGCUCGUAGGCAAGGACCCGAAAGAUGUUGUUUUUUGCUCAAAAGAUGAGAAGUAUGAAUUUGGUAAUUGUUGGUAUAAUAUGUUUUGGAAGUGGUAUGCUUAGGAAGGGUUAGAAAGAUCAGAAUCAUUUGUUUAAUGAGAUUAGAUUAGAAAGAUUGUUUCGUGGGACUACAGAAAACAUACGACAGAUAAUUAUAAUCUCUCGCAAUCAUUUGUUUAGGAAGAUUGUAACCAUGUACGACUCAAACAGAAGCAUUAGAAAAAUUAGAUUAGAUGAGCAGUAUGAGAAAGGGUAUUUUAAGCAUUACAAAAAAAAAAAAAAGAAGAAGGAAGAAAUACCAUUAUACAAGAUUUUGGUCCUAAUGUUUAGUACCUGUGCAGCUCUAGUCCUUAAAGUUUUGCCAAAAACAAAUUUAGUCCUCAAUGUUUAGCACAUGCACUGUUGUAGUCCCUAAAGUUUUUAUAAGAACAACUCUAGUCUCCAAUGUAUCCAAUAUAAAUUAGAUUUAGAUAACUGAAUAUUUUUCAAUUACUAACAGAAUUUAUUCAUGUGUACAUUAUAUUAAGUAUAAAAAUAAAGAAAAAAUAGUGGCUAACUUUAAACUACAAUAUUAAGGACUAAUAACUCAUGUGCUAACUAAUUAAUUGGUAAAAAAAUUGUUCAAGUACAAAAUUCAAACUAGUCAGAGCAUUUAAUUCAUCAAUUUAGAACUCAUUUUCUCUCUCUAUCCUUACUUACCCUAAGAAAAAAAAAAAAGCCCCAACACUUGGUUUUUGUGCAUAAUUAAACAAAUUUCCUUUUUUCCUGUUUUCUGGGUUAAUUAAUAACUCACGUUUCAUCACGUGAGUUGCUCUUACUAUUUAAGGUUAUCCAUGUUGGAAAAUUGGCUAUAUUCAUUGUAGAGUGAAUGAGAAAAUUGUUCUCAUAAUGGCACUCUUGAAAGAAUCAAAGGAUAAUUAUCUAUUCAUGUACAUAGGAUUCAUGUAUAUUAUUCAUGAUAGGAUACAUGUACUUGAUACAUGAUUUUAUCGUUAUCUUAUUGAGAUACGUGUAUGUACAUGAAUAUGGUACUUUGAUCAACGUAAAGAUAAUUAUCUGGAUUUUAACUCUUGUUGCCAAUUUCGAACAGUCACCCUAAGCUAGCAUCUAUAAAUAUCUCCUUUUAUUUCAAAAGCAAGGGCGCUCUCUCUCUCUCUUUUUCCUUUUUGCAUCUUCAUAUUUUAUAGUGUUCCAUAUUGCUCUAGUUCGAGUUCGCUGUGGUGAAUAAAGUUUGGUGCUGACAUAUUCACCUUUAAUCCGUUGUAUCCUGGGAGACAGACGCCUACUCAACCUCGAGCACUCUACCUGGAGGGGGCGAAUCUGUUUUAAGGAAAUUGUGCUCACAAGCCACGGAUUGUUACUAUUGUUAUUUUUCUAUCUUUACUUUCUUUCUAGGUUGUAUUUAUUCUUCUCUUUUGUAUCAGCCUACUUUAUUAUUUCACUAACAAUCUUAAAACAGAUCCGUUCUCAAUGGCUGACAAUACAGGAAGAGAAACCAACACAUCUACUGUUGAUGCCUCUGCCUCUGGCACAAUUGUGAAACAACCUGAAGGGAAGAUUACUCCUAUGGUUUCUACCAACCAUAGUGAGAAACCUGAGAAGUUCCAUGGCCUAAACUUCAAGACAUGGCAACAAAAGAUGUUGUUCUAUUUGACAACAUUGAAUCUCUCGAGAUUCUUAAGUGAGGAUGCUCCAAAGCUGUCUGAAGGCUUAACUGAUGCACAAGCUGUCAGUGCUAUUGAUGCUUGGAAGCACUCCGAUUUCCUUUGUCGAAAUUAUGUCAUGAACUGCUUGCAUGACUCGCUGUAUAACGUGUAUCAAAUACACAAGACGGCGAAGGCACUGUGGGAAUCCUUAGAUCGGAAAUAUAAAACCGAAGAUGCCGGAGCAAAGAAAUUUGUCGUUGGAAAAUUUCUAGACUAUAAAAUGGUGGAUUCCAAAACUGUUAUCAGUCAAGUGCAAGAAAUUCAGAUUAUCUUGCAUGAGAUUCUUGCUGAAGGCAUGCUUUUGAGUGAAACCUUUCAAGUGGCUGCUGUUAUUGAGAAGCUACCUCCUGGGUGGAAGGAUUUCAAGAACUAUCUCAAGCACAAGCGCAAAGAGAUGAGUAUGGAGGACCUUAUCGUUAGACUUCGAAUUGAAGAAGACAACAGGGGUUCUGAUUGCAAGGCAACAACUUAUGUUGAUGCUAAAGCAAAUUUUGUGGAGUAUAAGCAAGGGCAAAACUCCAAAGGCAAAAAGCCAACUCGAAAUCUUGGGGCAAAAGGGAAAAUCUCUAAGCAGAAAUUCCAAGGGAAGUGCUUCAACUGUGACAAAAAAGGUCACAAGUCCACUGAAUGUAAGCUUCCAAAGAAGAAGAAGCAUGAAGCAAAUUUGCUUGAUAGAAUCGAGGGAGACAUGGAAAACAUGAACCUGACUGCUAUGGUUUCUGAAGUAAAUUUGAUAGGGUCAAAUCCGAAAGAAUGGUGGAUUGACACUGGAGCUACAAGACAUGUUUGCACAAACAAAGACUUGUUCACUACCUUCGAAAAGGUUGAAGGUGAAAAAAUGUUCAUGGGGAACUCUGCCUCAUCUGCUAUUGAAGGUCAAGGGAAGGUGUUACUAAAGAUGACUUCUGGCAAAACAUUGACUUUGAACGAUGUUCUGUAUGUGCCAGAAAUCCGCAAGAACCUUGUUUCUGGAUCGUUGCUGAACAAGCAUGGCUUUCGCAUGGUUUUUGAAUCGGAUAAAGUUAUAUUAUCCAAAUCUGGGAUGUAUGUAGGGAAAGGAUAUACAACCGAUGGGUUGUUCAAAUUGAAUGUAAUGACUAUUGUGAAUAAUAAGAAUAAGUCUUCUGCUUAUUUGCUUGAGUCUUCCAAUUUAUGGCAUGGUAGACUAGGUCAUGUUAAUUAUGAUACUUUGCGUAGACUAAUUAACUUGGAUCAUAUUCCUUCCUUUCACAUCAAUUCAAACCAUAAAUGCGAGAUUUGCGUAGAAGCAAAAUUAACAAGGUCAUCUUUUCAAUCAAUUGAAAGAAACACCGAACCCCUUGAAUUGAUUCACACAGAUGUCUGUGAUUUGAAAUUUGUUCAAACAAGAGGUGGUAAUAAAUAUUUUAUCACUUUCAUUGAUGAUUGCACAAAAUACUGUUAUGUGUAUUUGCUCAAAAGUAAAGAUGAAGCCUUGGAAAAAUUCAUUCUCUACAAGAAUGAAGUUGAAAAUCAACUUAACCGGAGAAUUAAAAGGUUAAGAAGUGAUAGAGGUGGUGAAUAUGAAACACCUAUUGGUGGUUACUGUGCAAAAUAUGGAAUUGUUCAUGAAGUAACUGCACCUUACUCACCACAAUCGAAUGGUGUUGCUGAACGGAAAAAUCGCACACUAAAGGAAAUGAUGAAUGCGAUGUUACUAAGUUCAGGAUUGCCUCAAAAUAUGUGGGGCGAAGCUAUUUUGUCAAGCAAUUACCUUUUAAAUAGGGUACCCCGGAAAAAACAAGAUAAAACUCCUUAUGAGUUAUGGAAAGGUAGGAGACCAUCCUACAAAUACUUGAAAGUGUGGGGGUGUCUUGCAAAAGUGGCUAUUCCAGCACCAAAAAGAACAAAGAUAGGUCCUAGAACUGUGGACUGUAUCUUUAUAGGCUAUGCACAUAAUAGUGUUGCUUAUCGGUUUCUUGUGUAUAAUUCAGAAAUUUCGGAUAUACACAAAAAUACGAUAAUGGAAUCAAGGAAUGCUUCAUUCUUUGAAGAUGUGUUUCCUUGUAAAUCGAAUGGUGCAUCAAGUUCUUCAAAACGAACACAUGAAGUUGUGAAUCAAGAAAAACAUGAUCAUGACUUGAUUCAACAAGAUGAACCGAGACGUAGCAAAAGGGCUAGAGUGGAAAAAUCAUUUGGAGAUGAUUUUACAACUUUUCUAUUAGAAAAGGAACCACAAACCUAUACAGAAGCUGUAAGUUCUUCUGAAGGAUUUUUGUGGAAAGAAGCAAUAAAAAGUGAGGUUGAUUCUAUUUUACAGAAUCAUACAUGGGAGUUAGUGGAUCUUCCUCCUGGUUGUAGACCUUUAGGGUCCAAAUGGAUCUUUAAAAGGAAAAUGAAACCUGAUGGCUCUGUCGAUAAGUACAAAGCCAGACUUGUAAUCAAAGGAUACAAGCAACAAGAAGGUUUGGAUUAUUUUGAUACUUAUUCUCCUGUUACGAGAAUAAAUUCUAUCAGAAUGAUUCUUGCUAUCGCUGCAUUGAGAAAUCUGGAGAUACAUCAAAUGGAUGUAAAGACAGCUUUCUUAAAUGGUGAUUUAGAUGAAGAAAUCUACAUGGAGCAACCUGAGGGCUUCAUAACUCCGGGAAAAGGAAAUAAAGUUUGUAAAUUAGUGAAAUCAUUGUAUGGACUAAAACAAGCGCCAAAGAAAUGGCAUGAAAAGUUCGACAAUGCAAUGAUAACUAAUGGAUACAGAAUAAAUGAGUGUGACAAAUGUGUCUACACUAAAGAAACAGACAAUGGCUAUGUCAUCUUAUGUCUUUAUGUAGAUGACAUACUUAUUGUUGGUAGUAAUGACAAAAUGGUCAAAUCUACCAAGGACAUGUUGAAUUCAAAAUUUGACAUGAAAGAUAUGGGGCUUGCUGAUGUAAUUUUAGGAGUUAAAAUUACAAGAAUAUCAGACGGGGUGGUCUUGAGCCAAACUCAUUAUGUGGACAAGAUUCUGGAAAAAUUCAAUAAGAAUGAUUCUGGAAUUGCAAGAACUCCAUUAGACAAUAGUUUCCAUCUAUCUAAGAAUAGAGGAGAGAGUAUUUCUCAAGUAGAAUACUCAAGAAUCAUUGGAAGUCUAAUGUAUUUAAUGAGUUGUACUAGACCUGACAUUGCAUAUGCUGUGAGCAAAUUGAGCAGGUUUACAAGCAACCUGAGUGCUGAUCAUUGGAAAGCAAUUUUAAGGGUGCUUAAAUACCUACGGUACACUCGGAACUAUAGACUGCAUUACACUAGAUACCCUGCUGUUUUAGAAGGGUAUGCUGAUGCAAAUUGGAUAUCUGAUAUAAAAGAUUCAAAAUCCACAAGUGGAUAUGUGUUCACACUUGCCAGUGGGGCAGUAUCUUGGAAGUCUUCUAAACAAACUAUUGUAGCUAGAUCUACAAUGGAAUCUGAGUUCAUUGCCUUGGACAAAUGUGGAGAAGAAGCUGAAUGGCUCCACCAUUUCCUUGAAGACAUUCCAAAAUGGGAAAAACCUGUGCCACCAAUAUGUAUUCACUGUGAUAGUCAAUCAGCAAUUGGAAGAGCACAGAAUAACAUAUAUAAUGGUAAGUCUAGACAUAUACGUCGUAGGCAUAAUACCAUUAGACAACUACUCUCAACAGGAGUUAUCUCUAUUGAUUAUGUGAAAUCAAAGGAUAACAUAGCGGAUCCGCUAACCAAAGGAUUGAAUCGAGAGUUGGUUGCAAAAAUGGCAAAGGGAAUGGGACUAAAGCCCAUGGAAGGCUAAGUGUUAUAAAGGAAACCCAACCUAGUUGACUGGAGAUCCCAAGAUCUAGGUUCAAAGGGACAACCUAAUUAUAAGGACUUAGCAUAGUCAUUGUGGGGGGAUACCCCUAGACCCAUUCCAUAAUGAAACAAUGACGCAAAGGAGAAUUAAGGAUAGCACAAUGGUGUGCUUUAAUGAUUCUUAAGUGAAGUAAUUAAUUACUGAAGACUUAAGUAAAUCACCUAUGUGAGAGUGAAGUGGGGCCGCUUCGAAAGAGAAUUGUUUAGGGCUCAAUUCUUAAAAAAAAAAAAACUCUUGCUGAACCAGGUUGAUGUUCAUGGCCAAAACGAACAUAACUAUGAGAACUGAACAAAUGGAGCAUGAUUCCUGUGUGAAAUAUAUGGUUCAUUUACACUAAAAAGCGGGACAGUUCAAAGACAUCAUGUCUACUGGAUUGCUAGUAAAGUAAGUGUAUUUCACAAGAGAAGGUUCAAUGGGUAACACCAACCUAUCUUAUGCAGGUUUCAGUCGUGGAACACUACUGUCGAGUCAAAUCAAAACAAUUUUUCAUUCAUGUGGGGGAUUGUUGGAAAAUUGGCUAUAUUCAUUGUAGAGUGAAUGAGAAAAUUGUUCUCAUAAUGGCACUCUUGAAAGAAUCAAAGGAUAAUUAUCUAUUCAUGUACAUAGGAUUCAUGUAUAUUAUUCAUGAUAGGAUACAUGUACUUGAUACAUGAUUUUAUCGUUAUCUUAUUGAGAUACGUGUAUGUACAUGAAUAUGGUACUUUGAUCAACGUAAAGAUAAUUAUCUGGAUUUUAACUCUUGUUGCCAAUUUCGAACAGUCACCCUAAGCUAGCAUCUAUAAAUAUCUCCUUUUGUUUCAAAAGCAAGCGCGCUCUCUCUCUCUCUUUUUCCUUCUUGCAUCUUCAUAUUUUAUAGUGUUCCAUAUUGCUCUAGUUCGAGUUCGUUGUGGUGAAUAAAGUUUGGUGCUGACAUAUUCACCUUUAAUCCGUUGUAUCCUGGGAGACAGACGCCUACUCAACCUCGAGCACUCUACCUGGAGGGGGCGAAUCUGUUUUAAGGAAAUUGUGCUCACAAGCCUCGGAUUGUUACUAUUGUUAUUUUUCUAUCUUUACUUUCUUUCUAGGUUGUAUUUAUUCUUCUCUUUUGUAUCAGCCUACUUUAUUAUUUCACUAACAAUCCAUUCAUUUGCUUCUUUCUUACAAAAUUAAUUUAACUUACACAUAACUAAACGUUAUUAGGUUCCAUUAGUAAUUAAAAAAUGUUAGUGAAUUGUCCUAAAUUUGCUUAAAAUAAGAAACAAUUUGGAACCAAAAUUAUUUUUGACCAAAAUUUUUGCCAAAAAUUGAGGUCCAUACUUUUUUUUGCUGAAACUUUAGAACUAAAACUGUACAAGUGCAAAACACUAGCUAAGGAGAAAACCUUCAUUUUUUUCCAAAAAUUAAAAGAAAAUUCAGAAAACUAGGAAAUGAAUAUUGGCAUUCAAGAAGAGGUGGGAUUUAAGAAGCUAAAGUUUGGAACCUAGAACAUCCAAUUCCCGUAAUCUCAACCUUAACUAAUUGUCCAAGGCCUAUUCUGCGCAUAAGGGCUCAUCUCAUGAAGAAGAAGGCAAAUUAUUAAAUGCCAAUACAAAUUUACGGAAGAAAGAGGAGCCGUGCAAGACUGGUGUAGUUGUUUAUUUUUGGACACUUUUGAGGUUUUUUUGCCGUGCAAAUAAUUACCCAAGUCCCUUAAUAAUUUUGUACCUUCUUUUCAAUCAUGUGCACCGAGCGUGCCAGUAGACACCCAAAAUUCCUGCCUAAAGGUAGAUGCCACCCACAUAGCUAUCAUUUCUGGGCAUUAAUGUGAUUUCUUUCAGUUUUUGGACUUAAUCUUUGUGUUAAACAAUUUAUACAGUCAUCCUUAGGGAACAAAGCAUAAAGUGUUGCAUCUCAAUCCCAAGUUCAAGAGUGUAAAAUGUAGUUAGCCCUUAAAUUCAGUCAUCAUUCUCUUAGGAUCUUCUUGGUCAGCUUCUCAAAGCAUAAAGAAGCAGGGCCAAGAAUCAGAACCAAGAACACACGAGAUUUUUCUUUGCUAAAAUAUUUUGAGAAGGUUGGGCCCAACCUAUUAGAACAAAAAUGAGGUCUAAAUUAUUGUACAAAAAUCAAAAGUCAUCUAUUAGAACACCGCAAUCCAAAUCAUUAGACUCCAUUAACUGAAUCAUACUGGUAACUCGUUGUGUGACCUGCAAGUAUGAUUUGAUGGAAACCCAAGUUUCAUCAAAUUAACUGAGAGGGUAGUGAAGGGUGAAGAGCAGAGCCACUCCAGAAUGCCAAAGAGACACGGAGAUUAUGACAAAAUUUACGCCAAAUGCCGAAUAUAAGAAAUCUUAGAUCACUCGUGAAUCAAUAGUUGGGGCAAUCAUGAUGAAGAGAAAGAAAAGACCGACUCUGAUGCUCCAAUUGUAGAUUUGUCCGGUGAAAAAUUCUACAACAUUUUUCUGCAACUGAAUGGCAGCUAAUUUGAGAAGCGAAGAGUCUGAGACAGCUUACCAAAUUGACUACUAUAACCAGUUGAUAUAUACUUUCAAGGGUUCCCGACUGAGCUUUAAGCCUACAGUCCCUGCAAAACAGAAAACUCGGACUCAGGACUUCACCUAGCAAAUCAUAAGGCUAAAUGGGAAUUGCAUGACAUUUUUGUUUAGUCAAUUAUUCGGAAAAGCUCAAUCAAUAUUUGUUUUCGUUGUAAGCACAUAUCAAAUCUUUCUGCUCAGUCAAUAAGUAAAUGAUAAGCAAAUUGAUAAGCAAAUGAACUUUUAGCGUGCUUAGUUGGAUGAGGAGCUUCUAGAUUCAAAAUCUAAGGCAGGCAUGUUUGCCAGCAUUGCAAUAAAGAUAGAAGAGCAAUUUCCAUGUCAUUUUUGAGCUGGGAAUCUUACACAAAGAAAGAGCUUCUUUUUGUUGCCUUUGUUCGAAAAGUAAUAAGCAGGAUAGAAGACUUGAUACUAAGUACAGCUACUUAUCCAUUUAGAACAAAAUCAAUAACCUGAUGCUAUUUCUAGAAAAUUUGCAAGCUUCUCACGAUCAAUGUGUUUCUCUAUCACCAACCAAACCUCUCAGGAUGAUCACCAGAAAUUCACGUUAAUGAUGUCCUUGAUCUUGAGAGACUUUACAUAUGUUGGGGAAAGAAAUUUUAGCGAGCAGUUCAUAGAGGCCAGCUGAAAAAAAUAGAGCAUCUUAUCAAGUUUUAGACACUAAGAAGAAAGAAAAGUGUACCUGUAGUGUGCCAUCCUAGUCAUUUCUCUCCAAUUGAAACAGGAUCUGAUUCAACAAAGUUUUCAAAGGUUAAGAGCAGUUGUAGAUUCCAGUUGACGUUUGAGCCUGAUAUCAUUGCACAACAGAAAACUCGAACUGGGACAAUAUGUGGUCAACAAGAAAGCUAAUGAGAAAGUUCAGAUAAUUCAACAAUACUUUGGUUCUGUCAAUCUCACAAAAGGGUAAAAUGUUUGUUUACAGAGUUGUGUUUACAGUUAUUCCUAUGACCAUUACAUUAGUUUGGUUCCGACCGCAAUGCAACGCAAGUAAUUACAACUUAAAAACUUGAAAAUAAUGAUAGGCACUUUUCGUAGCACAUGCAAAGCAUCCCAUAUUGAGGCAUUGAUGCACAAUAGAGCUAUGGGACAAUGAGGCACAAUAGAGAUCCACAUUCAACUACUACCAUAACACUGGGUAGAUCUAACUCCUAACUACAAGCAGCAUGCCAGAGAUGACAAAUUGAGUUCUAAAACAUGUAAAUCAGCACCUUAUUAUCAUGACAACAAAUGUCUGAAUCAUUUGCUAGUUUAAAAGCAUCAAUGAGGUUCCCUGUUGAGCUUUGGGCCUAAAAUCACUCCAAAGCACAAAAACUCAAACUCAGGAUGGCAUAUAGCGUAGCAUACAACUAAAGGAAAAUUUCAAUAAUUGCAGGUUUUCUGUCAUUGUAACCAAAGCCCCAAAAGAAGAAAUUUACCAUACAAAUACUAGCAACCAACAAUCAUAAAAACAGAGAGAGCUUGAGAGCCUUUAUCAAGGUAGGUUCACUAAGAGCAGCAAGUAGCAACAAACAGGCUUGACUAACUACCAGAAUGCUCCAAAACAUUCCGCUUAGACUUGAAUGUUGGAAGAUACUCCACCAAGUUUUGUGCAACUUCAUUGCUUGAACGGUACAUCUUCCUUGGCUAACUCAAAAAUAUCUUCAGGACGACAAGAUUUCUUUUGUUUUGUGGAUAUCAAAGUGGUUAAAAGUCACAAUUGAGCAAUGAAAGAAAAGCAUAUCUAAAAUUACCAGAAUUUUUGAACCAAAACAUGAAAGCGAUGACCAACAGCUGCGAAUAAUCCUUGGUUGACCAUAGUCUUCAUGGCUAGAAAGUCAAAACCAAGGAAAAGAGACUCAGAAAACCAUCAUAUAUGACUCUGAUAGAGCAGUUACUAAUCAAAUGGUUCAGAUAAGUAUGUAAGCUCAUUAUCAAGAGAAAAAAGUUCAGAGAAACCAUUUCAUUCCCGUAGAAUCACAAGUUUAAACAGAGUGAGCUGACUUUAGCAACAAUAACUUACAAUCCACGAAAGCAGACAUGUAAAAUCAAUAGAAAAAACUGCUGGUUGUUUUAAACGUUGAUGGGCUAUUUAUAGGAAAUGCAAGCCAAAAGUUAUUGAGUUCCAGCCAUAUAGAUCGUGCUGAAGAAGCUUCAAAAUUCUAACAUCUGUUUGUCUAAGCAAGAGACCACCAAAAUCAGUUUGGAAAGUAUUGAAGACAGGAGUGUGGUCAGAAUUGUAAUUUAAGGACAUAUAGAAAAAGUUCCUCAAAUUUUCUACAUACCCUAUGGAAUAUAAAACGCAUUUGCAUUUUAAAGAGAACUCAUUUCAUCCUGAUGCACAUCGUGAGUUUAAAGAGAGAGCUAAUCUUAGAAAUCAUAAUGUACAACUGAUUGGCUGACAUACACGAUAAACAAAGUAAAGUCAAAUCUUAAUUUCUUUUAUAUUGUUACUUGAUUAGUUGAUUUGUUUCAUUUUUCUUUUAUGCAAAACUUGCUUUGGUCAUCCAAGAAAUAUGAAGACAUGUAACCAUCGCAUAUUGAUGGUAAUUUUUAUGAACUACCUAUAACUUUGAAUCAUGAUUCUGAAACCUAAGAAAGACAUUAGACAAUAUUGAAAAGAACCACUACAUGCAAUUCUUCAUUUUUGGUUAAACGACUACCAACAUAAGAUGUAGUACUCAACAUCAUAUAGACCAAGUAAUAUUGGAAUAAUAACAAAUCUUAAAGUAACAGAAUCAUUCUAGACAUGCCAUUUUUAACUGCAAAAAGAGAACAUGAAAACUCAGAAAAUCAUGUAAUGGCGCAAAGAUACAGCUUCAAGAAAGGUGGCGAGCAACUUGUGGAGGCUGACUAAUGGAGAAUAAGCAGUCACAAGACGGACCAAUACUUUUUCUGCAACUAAGUUGCAGCUAACAUGAGAGACAAGCAGUCUGAGAUAGAAAAACAAAUUGAGGUCCAUAACCAGUGAAUUACUACCUCAUGUCAUGACCACAAAAGCUACAGCUGAUUUACAGUUUUAAUCACCACAUUCACAAUGUAGAUCUCAGGCUUUGGCAUUGUUUUCUAACAUAAACUGGUACGCAGAUGUGAAUCUUUCUGCUUAGUCUACAGAUAUAAGUAGUGUCACAAGAACUAUCUCCUAGUUUGUGUCCGAAACUCUGAAAGAUGACCAGUUGAGUAAUUUAGAAAAAGAGAUGCAAGGUCAGUGAAAGCUAAAGAAUCUUCAUGAGGCGAAUUCCCAGAGCAGCAACCAAUACAUUCUGUAAGGUCAUUGAAGACACACUUUGAAGGUACUUGAGGUAAACCUAUUUUUAAAUAAAUCAUUAAAAAUUAGAAAAUAUAGAAGCAAGAAUUAUUAAAGAUGGAAAUUUAAGAUAAAUAGGCAUUUUUUCCAAGUAAAGUUUGUUACUAUCAUUUAAUAAAACCUUUUGUAAUGACAUCGAAAUUACACUUUGAAGGUAAUUGAGGCAACUCUCUUUUAAAUAAAUCGCGAAAAAGAAAAUGCUACUGCUGAUUGACAGUUUCAACUUUGGAGGCAGCAUAUUCACAACAACAAAUCACAAGCUUUGCCAGCUAAGACAUGAAGAAUAAAAAGACUGUGCCCAAAUGUGAUCCAGUUAAGAAUCAAAUGAAUUUCAAAAGUAAAGGCAGUAAUACUAAUUAGGGGCCAACAAGGUUUAUCCAAUAAACUGGAAACAUAAUUUAGUCGUUUAGGAAGGGACCAUAUAUACUGAGAAAAUUCCAGCACUUGGUUUUCAAUAUCAAAGACCUCGAAUCUUUUGGUGAUUCUUGGAGUAGAAAUCAAAACUUUUUUGGUAAAGCACUAAGUCAUAAGAGGUUUUCAAUAAGAGGGUUAAAAUAGUUUUGAUUAAAAUAAAGUGCAAAUUAUACUUUACCCUCCUGUGAUAUAGUUAAUUUUCACAUUACCCCCCUAUAGUUUUAAAAGUUAUAUAUAACAUUUUUAUAGUUUGGACUAAAGUGUUAAAGUGACGGAAAUAAUCAUCUGUAACGGAAUUUAUGAAAAUAUCAAAAUUACCAAAAUAUAGAAAUAUAAUAUGCAUGACACUCUAACCUUGUAUGGUUUUAUAUUUUAUCAUAUAACUCCUUUAUAAUUUAGUACUUUACCAUAUAACCCUCUUAUGAUUUAGUGCUUUACCAUGUAACGCCCUUAUGAUUUUCAAUAUAUGUACAUAACUCCCCUAUGGUUAAUAAAUAAUUUUCAACUUUACAUAGGAGUAUUUUUUAUAUUUUAGUUGUCUCCAUUAUGGAUUGCAAAUUCCGUCACCUUGAUACUUUAAUCCAAAUCAUGAGGGAGUUAUGUAUAGUUUUUGACACCAUGUGAGAUUACGUAAGAAAACGCUAAACUACAAGAAGGUACAGUAUAAUUUAUCCUAAAUUAAAAUAUUAAGUUUUUUGUUAUAGUUAACCGGUCGUAAAGUGUAAGUUGGUUAUUUGAUUAUAAGGCAAUUUAUAUUAUAUAAAAUGGGAAAAUAGAAAAUCUUUUUCACUUCUUUCCAUCCAUAUGCCUUACAAUGUAUCUCUUUUUUGUAUUUUUUGGUUAAAAUAUUGUAUCUCCUUCUCACUACUUGACCUUCCCUUUUCUUUUUUCUUUUUUUUUUUAACUUUGUUCCUAUUCACCUCUGAAUCACCCAUAAAUUAGUACUACUCAAACCCAAAAUCUUAUGACCCAAAAUGACAGCAUCUUCAAAAUUUCAGAAAUGGAUGGAGUGCUUGAUCAACUUCUUCAUUUGUGCAUAUAUGAUAUUUCUGUCCAUGGCGCCAGCAUUAUUUAUGCCAAGUAAUUCCGUGCGGUGGCUGCUUGCGGUGCACAGGAGCGGUUAUAUGGAGAAGAUGAUAUGAGAAAAGACAAGUUUGUUUGGAUAAGAGUUUAUUUGGAUGAUUUAUUUGAGAUAUUUACUGUAGCACUUUUUGUGAUGUGAUGUAUGUGAGAUAAAAAUGUGGUUGAGAAGAUAAAAAGGUGAUUGGGAUUUGUGAGGCUGACAGGUGUCGUGUCUGUGCAAUAAUAAAUACCUGCUUAAGAAAAAUAAAUUUUCUGUGUAUAAUAGUAAGCAGGGUCGAAUCCACAGGAACUGGGAAAAAUUUGAUUCUUUUUAAAUUCGAAACACGGGGGAUUUUUAUCAAAAUGAAAUUAAAAAUAAAUAAUUAAACAAUUUAACUAAAAAUAAUUAAACAAUUAAUAUAAAUGUAAAUAGAAAUUUAAUAAAUAAUAAAUAAAUUCUAGUCAAGGAUACAACUACGCAGACACUGUCUAUUCAUCAGAUCAUUGAUGCACAGGGGUUCACUUAAUUUAAUUAAUAGGCUAGUUAUAGUCGCCGAUAAUCUCUAACGACCAGUUUUUCCUUAAUUUAUUGAUAACCAAGGUACAACCGUUGAUUACCCCUAACCAGGAAAUACUCCUAGGUACGACCGUAGGAAUUAAUUUCCUAAUUGCCUUAAAAACUAGAAAAGCCUAACCCAAAUUAAUAACACGCUACGAGGGUUAUUUAAAUUAGAUUGCAUGUUCCCAUAGGGUAAGAAAACACUAGUUGCCACUAAUAUUAACCAAUUAAACAAUUGCAGAUUUAAUUGAUUAAUUUGACAAGAGAUUAAAAAGUCAAAUUGCACAUCGGGCCCUUGAUAUCCAAUUAACAAAAUAAUCCCAUGGAAAUUCAAAUAGAAAACAUGCAAAUAUUAACAAAUUAAGGAACACGUAAAAACUAAUUAGAUCUCACAUAUAUUUGGGACUGCGUCUUCGCGUUGAUCCUUGACUAGAGGAGAAAAUUAGCCACGCCUCAUAAGAAAAUUCCCACACAAUUUAAUUGAAUUCAUAGACAUAAACACUCGCUAAUAAUUUAGAAUAAAACUUUGAAUCUCCGUAGACUCUUUGAAGAAAAAUUACAUACCACACAACAAAAGAAGGAACAAGUUCCUUCUUACACAAAAGACUACCUAUUCUCCUCCGGAGCUUCUUUGGAGAGCAAAACUAAACUCUCCAAUGCUGCCAGAAGCACUAGCUAAAAAUAGCUCUCCUCCGUGAGCCCACUAGUCUAGUUCUUCCUUAUUUUAUUGGAACACUAAGUUCCACAAGAGAACUAGUUACGUAGGAAGCAAAUAGAAAAGCUACUUUCAUCAUCAAAGUGGCUAAUGAAUACAUCUCCCAAAAGAAGGACAGACUUUCUAAAUCAAAUAAUCAAUCCAUCCACUUUCUACGUGGUCCCCUGACCUUUCUUCUUUUGAUUUCUUAUUGGUAGUGGAUUUCAUCAGACCAAGUCAGUUCUUCAUUAGCAAAAAGGGAAGGAAAUCCGUUGGUUUUGCACAAUGUGGGCUAGUUGUGUAAAGCUUUCAGAAGCUUUCACGUGUGAAUUAAUCUUCUCAAGAAAGUCCCCCUUUUUAGUAGUUUUCUACUCCAUUCCCUGAAAUUAAAUCCAAAUACCAAAUAUAAGUAAAUAUUAAUAAUUAAAAUAAUAUUUGGCAAGGACAAAGAGGAAAAUUUACAAUAAAAUUGCUAACAAUUGACACCCUAUCAGAGGCAAAAAAAUUUUUUCCAAAUUCUCUUUGUCCAAACAAACUUGAUCGUAGUUUAAAAAUUUAUACCCUGUGAUUUGGUGUUUUACUACAUAACCCUUCUAUAGUUUAAAAAUUUAUAUACAACCCCUUCGUAGUUUGGAUUAAAAUGUUACCAUCAUUUUUUCCCAUUAAAACUAACAGUCAAUAGCAAAAAUCAAAGUCAAACUAAUAAAUAGACAAAUUCACCUUUUCGCUACAUUUUUUUCCUUUCUUUCUUUUUUUCUUUUCUUUUCUUUCUUUCUUUUUCUUUUUUUUUUGGAAGAGAAUAGAUGAUUUAAAAUUUGUACUUUAGCUUAUAAAAUUUUAAUUUUCUUCGGAUACAAAAAAAGGAAGGGAAAUGAAAAAUAAACAAUUAAGAAAUAGAAAAGAUGGAAGGAAAGUGAAAAAAAUAAAUUAAUAAGAAACCAAAAAUGGAAGGGAAAUAUAAAACAAAUAAAUAAGAAACAAAAGAUACCAAAUCUUUAUUGGCUGCAAAUAUCAUUAUAGGCUUUUAGACCAAAUCUUUUAUGGUAUUUUCUAUUUAUUAUUUAUCUAUUUUUACUUAAAUUUCUUCUUUUUUGUAUUUGGAGGAAAAAAAGGAAAGUAGUGAAAGAGUAAAUUUGUCAAUGUAUUAUUUUGAUUUUGAUUCUUUUUUAACUAUUGAUAACUUUGAUGGAGAAACUAACGGUGACCCAUUAAGUCACACCAUGAGAAGGUUAUAUAUAGGUAUAUUAAGUCAAAUCAUGAGGGCAAAAGGUAAUUUGUCCUAAUUAUUAUUUUGUUUGCUUAAAAUCUUUGAGAAUUUGGUCAAAGUCCAGAGACCACAAAGUGAUAAUUUCCAUACUACUUAUCAGGCUGGUUGGUUCAGUAUGGAGGAAUAUGUGUACUGGAUGAUGUCCACCUCAAUAAUCAGACUCGGUCAUACAUCAUGUAAUUGGCCACGAAUUGGAUUCUUUUCUUUGCAUUUUAACUUGUGAAAGUUGUUCAAAUAUUCUCUCGUACUUUAGGAAGUCUUCUAAAGCAUCAAUGAUACUUGAAAGAAGAAUUUAACAACUCAUAUCUUAGACCGUAUUCUUCUAUUAGCCUCCUAUCCCAUUUAUAAUUAGUUUUCACACUCAAUAUGUCUUGGUUAGGUUUCAUGUGCAAGAUUAAGUGUUGAAAAAAAUUUGAAGAGUUUGUUUAACCAAAGUACAAUAUGAUUUUCCCAGGGAAGCUGCUUGGCCUUUUACUGGAAAAAAUUUCCCAGGUCAAUGCAGGGAUUCCAUUUUUUUUUUUUUUUUUUGAAGUGGCUUGUUUGUGUUGUCAUCCUGCACUUGGUUUUGUGAAUUGGAUUUUGACUCUUGGCUAGCUUGUUCAAACUCCCGGAAUAGAGAAAAUACCAAAUUGAGGGCCGACUUCUACUCUGUGUAUUAUCAGCAAUCAGGUUUGGUUAGGCAGAGCCAAAGAAGAAGGAAGAUUUACAGCAACUAGUAGGCAUUGUUCUGAAGCCGCGGAUUAAAACGCAUACACAGAGUCAUGCCAGUAAAGAGAGAAUAUCUGAGAGCAUUGGCAAUCAAAUAUCAGAGGGUAAAUUACAUACAAUCCCCAUGAAAUUUUGAAUAAUACCACAUUUCAAAAUAGUCAUGCAAUUCCAUCUAUAUAUAUGGCUAUAAGUGAUGUCCUGAAUCAAAAAAUGAUGGAGGAAACUGGACUGUGACGUGGGUUGGUAAGAGAAUCAGAUGCGUGAUAAUUGUUGAUUUCUUGCAAAAUCUUGUACAUUUGGUUACUUGAAAUAGGACAUUGAUAAACAUCAAAUGAAAACGCAAAGGUUAUUCAAACCUUUGCGGAAGAAUCAACUCCGGUGCAGCAGAAUCUCCGGCUUGUUAUCCCAAGGACACAACAGCCCACCUACACUUGUUGUCACUUUCAUUAGUCCAUACAACUAAGAGAGUAUAACUCCACUAACACUGGUCUUUCUUGUCGAUCUAUGAGAUAGAAAAUAACAAAGGAGUAGAUAUUUUUCUCUUAUGAAUUGUAGUUUAUAAAACAUAAGUUGUUGUAGCGCCUUUUCCUAUCUCAACUACACAUAUUUAUAGGUGAAGAAAAAUUAGUCAAACAUAACCUACACUAAUAAUAUGCUAAGUAACUGUUGAAAAUGAUUGGCUAUUCAAGACACAUUCUAAUUUGUAUUGUAGGUUAUAAAAUUUAUUGUAAUUGAAAAGCCAUAAUUUCAUAUAAUAAAUAUUUAGUAAAACAUCAUUCAAACACCAAUAAAUUUCAAAAACAUUUACCAAUUUAUUCUCCUUGUAACUUACACAUUGAAUUGAGAAUUUAACUAUUUUAUUAAAAUACUCCAACAGAAACUGUCAAUAUUUAAGAAUUCUUUUGAAGUAAUUAUUACUAAUAUAGUUUCCAUUUCUCGUGGAAUGUUCUGAAUCUCUCCUAAAGCAACAUUUUCCAAUUUGAGUGCCAGAAUUGUUGCAAACUUUUUUGGUUUGUGCGUCACUUUGCAUCUAAGAAUUCAAAAUUUCACCACCAAUUAAAUAGUUUCCCUUGCAACUUUAGUUUUCUUUUCUCUUCUAUUUCCAAUUUCUCCUAACUUAUAUUUCCUUGUUGCGGAUCUUGCCCAACUAUAUGAGAUAUGUCUUAUCGAUUCUUUGAUUCCUGGAACACAAGAAAUUUUUCAUUCCUAAUAUGUAUUCUUGUUUAAUUGUUUAAUUGAUUUUUAAAAGUUAUUAGUAAAAAAAUUAGAUCUAAUUUCGUGCAGUGCUCCUUUGACAAACUGAAUCGGAUGCUUUAGCGACGGAAGUCGCUUCGCAUCUUCAAUUCACCUUUCUUAAUGAGAUACUAAAUUCUUUGUUAAAUUUUGACUUUAAACAUCAAAAUAGAGUAAUUCUUUUGGUUUAAUGAUUAAAGUACUUCAAGAAUAAAAGGUCCUAGAUUCAAUUCUCCGAAUUUUUACUUCUCUUGUAUGAAAAUAAAGUAUGAACAUAAAAAUGAGCUAACCUAAUGUUUCAAAAAAAAAAAAAAAAAACAAGACAUCACCUAAAACUACAAAUGACCUUUGUAUACUCUUAAAACUUAUGCCUAUAAUUUCUUCUUGUUAAUUUGCAACCUCAAAGUUUUAUCUUUUUAAGUAUCUUUCCAUUUCAAAAAAUUGGAGAUCCCUGAUAUUUGUAGUUGUCUUGACCGAUUCAAUUUCUUACCUCCAUUUCAUAUUUAGUGUGCAUGCAUUCUAAUGGUGAGUUUAUACACGAUUUGUAUAGAAUACACCUAUGGCUGUCAAUCCGUCUUUGAGCUUGGGGUUGCUUGAUUAAUUUUAAAAAAAUCUUAGGUCGAAUGAACUCUAGCAAAGAAUGAUUUGAAAUAUCUAUUUGCAACCCUGUUAAAAAUUUAUCUUCAUACCUUUUGCAAGGUCAUUGAAAACACACAUUGAAGGUACUUGACGCUAACCUGUUUUUAAAUAAAAUCAUUAGGCAUUAGAAAGUAUAGAGGCAAGAAUUAUUAAAGCCAGAAAUUUAAGAGGUACUUUGAAGACAUCAAAAAUAUGGUUUGAUGGUACUUGAGGCAAACACUUUUUGUUAAAUAAAUCAUAAGCAUUAGAAAAUUAAGAGGCAAGAAUUAUUAAACAUAGAAAUAUUAAAAAUCUACCUAAUAUUCCUUUUAGGAUAAAUUUUGAAUACACAAAUAGUAUAUAUACAAGCGAGGCUGAAUACAUGCUACCUUUACUGUGGAAGAAAUAAGUACAUCAGCAAUUCUUUUUGUUCCUUUUUUGUUCCUUGGAUACUUUUUGCAGUGGAAGGUUUUUGCCCUGGGUGGAGGCAAAAAGGAACUAUUUUUUGCUUUAGUAGAAGUACGGCCGCAAACGAAUCGAGCUGCUCGAGAACGGCUCGAGUCGAGUUCGAGUUGGCUCGAGUCAAAAUCUAGCUCGAACUCGAGUUCAAAAUAUUAAGUUCGUUAGGCUCGCGAGCUCGAGUAUAUGUAUGUUAUAUUUAUUUAUUUUUUUAUUUUAAGUAUAUAUAUUAUAUUUUUUUAAUUUUAAUAGUAAAAUUACAUAUAUAUCCUUAUUAUUUUAUUAUUUAUUAAUAAAAAUAUUAUUUUAUUUAUUUUUUAAAAAAUAAAAUAAUUAUUUUUUAUUUUUUUCGAGCUUGAGCUCGAACUUGGCUCGAAUCAAGUCGAGUUAGAGCUCGAGCUUGAAAUUGUCAGCUCGUUGAGCUCGAGCUCGAUUUCAAGUUCAAUGAAAUUAAAUCAAGACUCGGCUCGAUUAAGCAAAAACUCGGCUCGACUCGGCUCGUUUACAGCCCUAAGCAGAAGCAACAAGACUUUGACAAACUUGUAUGCUUUUGCAACAAGGAAGAGGUUGCUACUUGAUCCGGGGCCUCACAAUUUAUGUUUUAUACAAUUUCGUACAAGUUGAUCUUUGGUGUAAAUUAGUCGGAUUUCAGUGUGAAUUAGAUCUAUUUUAAUAUAAAUCAGGUGCAGUUCAGUGUAUAUUAAUUUGUUAUUAUUUUGUAUAAAUCAGAGACACUUGGAUAUAAGUUGAUUAUUAUCAUUUAGUAUAAGUUAAGGUCAAUUUGAUGUAAACGGAGAGUAAAUGGUUAAUUUACAUCAAAUUAUACAUAAUGGAACUUGUGAGGCCUAUUUCCUGCAUAGGACUUGUGAGGCCUGUAAUUUUGGUAUCCAAAAUUUGACACGUGAACAGUUUUAAUUCCCAAACUUUGGACGAAAACAAAUCUAGUAUCCAAACUUUCAAUAUUUGAGCACAUUUAGUAGCCUUAGUGAAUUUUUUCCAAAUUGUUACUUGAAAAAGUCACGUGAUAGUCAUAUGUUCGACAAAAAUUAUAUAAAAAAAUGUCACAAAAAUGUAAAAUAUCUUUCUGACACUAAGAUGAAGAUGAAAUACAGCAAAAGAAGGAGAAAAGAAAUAAGAUGAGUAGAGUUGGGUAAGUGAUUAACGUUUUUAAAAUAUCUUGGUACUUAGUGCUAGAAGGAUAUUUUACAUUUCAUUGGUAUUAUUUUUAUGCAAUAGUUGUCGGACAUGCGAUUAUCGCGUGAUUUUUUCUGAUAGCAUUUUGGAAAAAAAUUGUCAAGGGUACUAAAUAUGCUCGAAUAUUAAAAAUUUGAGUAUAAGAUUUAUUAUUGUUCAAAAUUUGGGGAUUAAAACUGCUCAUGUGUUAAAAUUUGAGUACCAAAAUUAACAUUUUUCUCUACUUGUCGUUGCCCGGGCCUUCAUCUACUUUUGAUCCACAUGCUGGAGCCUUGGGUUGUGUGAAAUAUGACAAUCAAGGAUUUAAAAUACGACAAAACAAGAAAAAAGAAAGGGAAAAUAGCAAUCAUAAUUGCAACUCCGGCAACUAUUUUCUUUUUGAGUUAAAUACAAAAAACCUCCUUAUGAUUAAUCGAAUGUUCAAGUUAACUCCCUAUACUUUGGAAACAUACAUAAAAUCCCCUUAUGCUUUUGAUUAAAAUAAAGGGCAAAUUACACUUUACCCUCCUGUGGUAUAACUAAUUUUCACAUAACCCCUUGUAUUUUUAAAAGGUAUAUAUAACUUCUUUAUAGUUUGGACUACAUUGUCAAAGUGACGGAAAUAAUCAUUUAUAACGGAAUCUAUGAAAAUGUCAAAAUUACAAAAAUAUAGAAAUAUAAUAUGCAUGGCACUCUAACCCCAUAUGGUUUUAUAUUUUACCAUAUAACCCUCUUAUGAUUUAAUGUUUUAUCAUAUUACCCCAUUAUGGUUUUCAAUAUAUAUAUACAUAAUCCCCUGUGGUUAAUAAAUAAUUUUUAACUUUAGAUAGAGGUAUUUUUGAUAUUUUAGUUGUUUCCGUUAUGGAUUGUAAAUUCUGUCACUUUGAUAUUUUAAUUCAAAUCAUGAGAGAGUUAUGUAUAGAUUUUGACACCAUAGUGAGAUUAUAUAAGAAAACACUAAAUCACAAAGAGAGUAAAGUAUAAUUUGUCCUAAAUUAAAAUAUUAAUUUUUUUGUUAUAGUUAACAAUAAUAAAGGGUAAGUUGGUUAUUUGAUUAUAAGGCAAUUUAUAUUAUAUAAAAUGGGAAAAUAGAAAAUCUUUUUCUCUUCAUUCCAUCCAUAAGCCUUACAAUGUAUCUCUUUUUUAUAUUUUUUGGUUAAAACAUUGUAUCUCCUUUUCACCACUUGACCUUACCUUUUCUUUCUUUUUUUGGUAAAUUAUAUUUUAUCCCCCUGUGGUUUAGUACUUUUUCUACAUAACUCCCCUAUGGUUUCAAAAGCUAUACAUAACCUCCCAUAAUUUAGAUUAAAGUAUCAAAGUAACGAAAAUAGUCAUUCGUAACAAAACUUUUGAAAAUGUCAAAAUUACCCUUAUAAAUACAUGACACACUAACCCCGUAUGAUUUUUAUAUUUUACCAUAUAACCCCCUUAUAGUUUUCAAAAUAUAUACAUAAUUCUACUUGGUUAAUAAUUAAUUUUCAACUUUACAUAAGGGUAUUUUUGACAUUUUAGAUGACUCCAUUAUGAAUGAUUAUUUCCAUCAUUUUGAUACUUUAAUCCAAACCAUAAAAGGGUUAUGUAUAGUUUUUGAAACUAUAAGGGAGUUAUGUAAAAAGCACCAAAUCACAGGGGAUAAAUUGGAGUUUGCGUCUUCAAACCCAAAAUCUUAUGACCCAAAAUGAUGGCGUCUUCAAAAUUUCAGAAAUGGAUGGAGUGCUUGAUCUACUUCUUCAUUUGUGCAUAUAUGAUAUUUCUGUCCAUGGCUCCAGCCUAUUUAUGUCAAGUAAUUCCGUGCGGUGGCUGCUUGUGGUGCACAUGAGCGGUUAUCUGGAGAAGAUGACGUGAGAAAAGAUGAUCACAUCUGUGAUUUGGUAUUUUAUUACAUAACCCUUCUAUAGUUUAAAAAUUUAUAUAUAACCCCUUCAUAGUUUGGAUUAAAGUGUUACCAUCAUUUUUUUCCGUUAAAACUAACAGUCAAUAGCAAAAAUCAAAGUCAAACUAAUAAAUAGACAAAUUCACCUUUUCACUACAUUUUUUUCCUUUCUUUCUUUUUUUCUUCUCUUUUCUUUCUUUCUCUCUCUUUUUUUUUUUUUGGAAGAGAAGAGAUGAUUUAAAAGCUGUACUUUGGCUUAUAAAAUAUUAAUUUUCUCUGGAUACAAAAAAGGAAGAAAAAUGAAAAAUAAAUAAUUAAGAAAUAGAAAAGAUGGAAGGAAAGUGAAAAAAAUAAAUUAAUAAGAAACCAAAAAGAUGGAAGGGAAAUAUAAAACAAAUAAAUAAGAAACAAAAGAUACCAAAUCUUUAUUGACUGCAAAUAUCAUGAUAGGCUUUUAGACCAAAUCUUUUAUGGUAUUUUCUAUUUAUUAUUUAUCUAUUCUUUAUUUAAAUUACUUUUUUUUUGUAUUUGGAUGAAAAAAGGAAAAUAGUGAAAGAGUAAAUUUGUCAAUGUAUUAGUUUGAUUUUGAUUUUUUUUUAACUAUUGAUAGUUAGUUUUGAUGGAGAAACUAUCGGUGACCCAUUAAGUCACACCAUGAGGCGGUUAUAUAUAGGUAUAUUAAGUCAAACCAUGAGGGCAAAAGGUAAUUUAUCCUAAUUAUUAUUUUGUUUGCUUAAAAUCUUUGAGAAUUUGGGCAAAGUCCAGAGACCACAAAGUGAUAAUUUCCAUACUACUUAUCUGGCUGGUUGGUUCAGUAUGGAGGAAUAUGUGUACUGGAUGUCCACCUCAAUACUCAGACUUGGUCAUACACCAUGUAAUUGGCCACGAAUUGGACUCUUUUCUUUGCAUUUUAACUUGUGAAAGUUGUUCAAAUAUUCUCUCGUACUUUAGGAAGUCUUCUAAAGCAUCAAUGAUACUUGAAAGAAGGAAUUUAACAACUCAUAUCUUAGACCGUAUUCUUCUAUUAGCCUCCUAUCCCAUUUAUAAUUAGUUUUCACACUCAAUAUGUCUUGGUUAUGUUUCAUGUGCAAGAUUUAAGUGGUGAAAAUUUGAGGAGUUUGUUUAACCAAAGUACAAUAUGCUUUUCCCAGGGAAGCUGCUUGGCUUUUUACUGCAAAAUAAUUUCCCAGGUCAAUGCUGGGAUUCCCUUUUUUUUUUUUUUUUUAAGUGGCUUGUUUGUGUUGUCAUCCUGCACUUGGUUUUGUGAAUUGGAUUUUGACUCUUGGCUGGCUUGUUCAAACUUCCAAGUUUCUUAAACACAAGUACCUCCCGGAAUAGAGAAAAUACCAAAUUGAGGGCCGGCUUCUACUUUGUGUAUUAUCCGCAAUCAGGUUUGGUUAGGCAGAGCCAAAGAAGAAGUAAGAUUUACAGCAACUAGUAGGCGUUGUUCUGAAGCCGCGGAUUAAAACGCAUACACAGAGUCAUGCCAGUAAAGAGAGAGCAUUGGCAAUCAAAUAUCAGAGGGUGAAUUACACACAAUCCCCUUGUAGUUUUGAAUAAUACCACAUUUCAAAAUAUCUACAUAACUCCCCUGUGGUUUCAAAAGCUAUACAUAACCUCCCAUAAUUUAAAUUAAAGUAUCAAAGUAACGGAAAUAGUCAUUCGUAACAAAACUUUUGAAAAUGUCAAAAUUACCCUUAUAAAUACAUGACACACUAACCCCGUAUGAUUUUUAUAUUUUACCAUAUAACCCCCUUAUAGUUUUCAAAAUAUAUACAUAAUUCUACUUGGUUAAUAAUUAAUUUUCAACUUUACAUAAGGGUAUUUUUGACAUUUUAGAUGACUCCAUUAUGAAUGAUUAUUUCCAUCAUUUUAACACUUUAAUCCAAACCAUAAAAGGGUUAUGUAUAGUUUUUGAAACUAUAAGGGAGUUAUGUAAAAGCACCAAAUCACAAGGGAUAAAUUGGAGUUUGCGUCUUCAAACCCAAAAUCCCAAAAUGAUGGCGUCUUCAAAAUUUCAGAAAUGGAUGGAGUGCUUGAUCUACUUCUUCAUUUGUGCAUAUAUGAUAUUUCUGUCCAUGGCGCCAGCCUAUUUAUGUCAAGUAAUUCCGUGCGGUGGCUGCUUGCGGUGCACAUGAGCGGUUAUCUGGAGAAGAUGACGUGAGAAAAGAUGAUCACAUCUGUGAUUUGGUAUUUUAUUACAUAACCCUUCUAUAGUUUAAAAAUUUAUAUAUAACCCCUUCAUAGUUUGGAUUAAAGUGUUACCAUCAUUUUUUUCCGUUAAAACUAACAGUCAAUAGCAAAAAUCAAAGUCAAACUAAUAAAUAGACAAAUUCACCUUUUCACUACAUUUUUUUCCUUUCUUUCUUUUUUUCUUCUCUUUUCUUUCUUUCUCUCUCUUUUUUUUUUUUGGAAGAGAAGAGAUGAUUUAAAAGCUGUACUUUGGCUUAUAAAAUAUUAAUUUCUCUUGGAUACAAAAAAAGGAAGAAAAAUGAAAAAUAAAUAAUUAAGAAAUAGAAAAGAUGGAAGGAAAGUGAAAAAAAUAAAUUAAUAAGAAACCAAAAAGAUGGAAGGGAAAUAUAAACAAAUAAAUAAGAAACAAAGAUACCAAAUCUUUAUUGACUGCAAAUAUCAUGAUAGGCUUUUAGACCAAAUCUUUUAUGGUAUUUUCUAUUUAUUAUUUAUCUAUUCUUUAUUUAAAUUACUUUUUUUUUGUAUUUGGAUGAAAAAAGGAAAAUAGUGAAAGAGUAAAUUUGUCAAUGUAUUAGUUUGAUUUUGAUUUUUUUUUUAACUAUUGAUAGUUAGUUUUGAUGGAGAAACUAUCGGUGACCCAUUAAGUCACACCAUGAGGCGGUUAUAUAUAGGUAUAUUAAGUCAAACCAUGAGGGCAAAAGGUAAUUUAUCCUAAUUAUUAUUUUGUUUGCUUAAAAUCUUUGAGAAUUUGGUCAAAGUCCAGAGGCCACAAAGUGAUCAUUUCCAUACAACUUGUCUGGCUGGUUGGUUCAGUAUGGAGGAAUAUGUGUACUGGAUGUCCACCUCAAUACUCAGACUCGGUCAUACAUCAUGUAAUUGGCCACGAAUUGGAUUCUUUUCUUUGCAUUUUAACUUGUGAAAGUUGUUCAAAUAUUCUCUCGGUCUUUAGGAAGUCUUCUACAGCAUCAAUGAUACUUGAAAGAAGGAAUUUAACAACUCAUAUCUUAGACCGUACUCUUCUAUUAGCCUCCUAUCCCAUUUAUAAUUAGUUUUCACACUCAAUAUGUCUUGGUUAUGUUUCAUGUGCAAGAUUUAAGUGGUGAAAAUUUGAGGAGUUUGUUUAACCAAAGUACAAUAUGCUUUUCCCAGGGAAGCUGCUUGGCUUUUUACUGCAAAAAAUUUCCCAGGUCAAUGCUGGGAUUCCAUUUUUUUUUUUUUGAAGUGGCUUGUUUGUGUUGUCAUCCCGCACUUGGUUUUGUGAAUUGUUCAAACUUCCAAGUUUCUUAAACACAAGUACCUCCCGGAAUAGAGAAAAUACCAAAUUGAGGCCGAUUCUACUUUGUGUAUUAUCAGCAAUCAGGUUUGGUUAGGCAGAGCCAAAGAAGAAGGAAGAUUUACAGCAACUAGUAGGCAUUGUUCUGAAGCCGCGGAUUAAAAUGCAUACACAGAGUCAUGCCAGUAAAGAGAGAGCAUUGGCAAUCAAAUAUCAGGGGGUAAAUUACACACAAUCCCCCUGUAGUUUUGAAUAAUACCACCUUUCAAAAUAGUCAUGCAAAGCAAUAAGACGUUCAAUUCCAUCUAUAUAUAUAUGGCUAUAAGUGAUGUCCUGAAUCAAAAAAUGAUGGAGGAAACUGGACUGCGACGUGGGUUGGUAAGAGAAUCAGAUGCGUGAUAAUUGUUGAUUUCUUGCAAAAUCUUGUACAUUUGGUUACUUGAAACAGGACACUAAUAAACAUCAAAUGAAAACGCGAAUCCAACAAACAAGGCUUGAUAAGCUGUGAUUAAAAAUGCCAUAUCAACUAGAGUUUACUGAUACGAAUUCAAUCAGGAAGUUGAUGUCAGUUUCAUUAAAUUAACAGAGAGUGAGCAUGAAAAUAACAUUUAGCUCAGUAUAACGGAAUUCAACACGAAUAGCCAAAUAUACAACUUUCAAGAAGGAUGCAAGUUAUCUAGCAGGGUUCAGCUAAUCCACAUCUUUCUGCUGCAAAAGACUGGCUACUUUGAAGUACAAGCAGCACGGAAGAUAUGGCAAAUUGUGUUCCAAAAGAAGUAAAAGAGCACCUCAUUAACAUGUCUACAA